CAUUCCAAAAUUUCUAACCACCCCAAAAAAAGUUAAACAAGUACCAUGAUAACUAACAAAACAAGACUAUUCAUUCGGUAACAAAAUAUAUAUAAACAAUAAAUUACAUGUCUCUGACCAAAUUUGAUCUAGAUAUACUUUUUGCUUAUAUUUUAUUAUGAUCUAGAGAUAUAUAUUUUUUUACUUAUAUUUUAUUAAGAAGGGAGUAACAUUUUGGUGUAGCUAGCUAGCCAGUGCCUGUGACACCAAGGUCUUGCUUAUUCUCAUCUUUACCAGCACCAAAGACAGGACCACCUUUUCCAGCAGGAUCGUGAACCUUCUCUUGCAACUUAUCCACUUGAAUGCCACCUUGAUCCUCUUUUGAAAGCAAAUUAGUCCUUGUACGAUUCUCUCCUCCUUCUAUUGAUUCAUAUGUUGUUGCUGUUUUUGACUCCUUUGGUUGUGCUCCUUGUGCCCCUGACAUCCUCUCUAAUAAUUCACUUUUUAUUUAUUGAUUUUUCACUUUUUUAUCUGCUCAUUUAAUUUCUACUAACACUAUUUUAUAGUGGCAUUGCAUUAUACCAACAACAACCUACGUGUUAUGUUAACAUGCCAUGAGUCUACACGUGUGCCAUGACUUGUGCCAAAUGUCAUUUUUGUUUUCCUCUUCUGCCACGUUUUGUUUAACGGAUAUUUUUCUUAUGAACUUUAAGUUUUUUGUAGAAGUAUCUAAAUUAUUAUUCUUAACUGUUUAAAAGUAUUAGUUGAAUAUUUUUGAGAUACUUCACACACACACAUAUAUAUAUAUAUAUUUAGGAAAGAUGAAGGAAAUAAAAAAGUGAAAAAAGUGUGAGACACCAAAUUGUAUCAAAGAAAGAGAAGCAUAGUCUUGAUUUUUUUAUGAAUUGUUUCAUAAUUUUUUUAUGAAAUGUGUUAUAUUGUUGACUUAACUCCUCUUUCUUUGAUUUUCAUUUCUAUAAUCUAUUCAAUGUAAGUUGUAACAUUAUGAAAUAAUUGUAAAAAAAAAAAAUAAAGACUUUACUUGAAAUUAUAGACAGCCAACCCAACCAAAAACCCUAGGAAAGCACCAGCUAUGACUUCAACCUCAGUAUGACCAACAGUUUCUUUCAAUUGCAGUAGACCAUCACUAACCAACUUUGAGAUUUGUUUUGAAUCUUCUGAGAACAAGUCAGAGGAUAGUAACUCCUCAUCACUUAGCUUUAUUUUGCUUCCUGAUUUAACUAAUACACUUGCAUUAGCCUGUUGUGGUUCCAAAGACUUAGCUUCUAGAGACAAAAGGGACUUUUCGUGAGCUUCUAAUUUUGGUGGAUUGGAUGAAUCAGGAUGAGAGUUGAUCAAAGCAUCUUUAUGUUUGGAAUGUAAAUGGUUGAGAUGCAUUUGGAGAAGUAGUUUGUUUACGGUCUUAGCAUGAAUCCCUACUUCUCUUCUUACACCCUGCAAAUCAUGAAGUCAUAGUCUCAAUUGUCAUCCAACCAGAUCACAUUCACUGAUAAAAUAAACAAUCAAGUUCAAUAAGCAGAACAGCAUGAUAAAGGGAAUUUGCUUGGAGAAAAGUUGUGUCUGCUGGACUUAAGUGCAUGUUUGAAUUUACCAUGAAUUUAAAAAAAUUGAGGCAGAUGGUUUUGUUGAAGCUCUAAAGUGUAGUUUUUGCUUAAACCACAAUGGCACACUAUGAUUCAACCAAACUCUCCAUGAAUGGACAAUGUUUAAACAACUGACUAUGGACAAUGUUUGGUCAUAAUGACCAUAAUUACAGGGUGAAACAAAAAGUUAGUUUCAAGAAAUAUAUGAAGUUUCACAAUAAAUAAGUAAACUAUAGUGUUUGCAAUGAACAAUAAACGGUAAGACUAGUAGGCAUCAUUAAAGGUUUUUAACUAUGUAGCACAUGUCUGGUGUCCAACAUGUAUCGGUGUCGAGCACCAAUGUAACACUGAAAAAUGUAGUUCCUAAUUAUAUUCAAUUACAUCUGUUUUUUCAAAUUAUUACUAGUAUUUUCGUGUUUGUGUCGUAUGCAAUGUCUAUGUUAAUGCUUCAUAGGCUUUUAAGCACGUUAUAUUGAACAAACAAAUCUUUUUUGCAUUAAAAGGUUGCUAAAUGAGCAAACCCAAAUCUAGCUGCAGGCUACAUCAUAUCAAAUUAUCAACCCUUUUUAAAGACAUCUAAAUCUGAGGACUCAGCUAUCUUUCCGUCAUUUGGCACCAAUAAUCUAAAAAUAGAACAACAACAACAACAUUCUUCCAUAUGGAUCAAUCGUCACUAUACAGUUCUGGUAGCAUUACACUGAAUAUAGCUGUGCUGUCUUAAAUCCGAGCUAACAAAUUUCAUACUAUAAUUUCUCUCCCACUCAAGUGACAACCUUACCUUUCUUCCCUAGUAGAACCUUCAUUCAUUAAAUUUAUAUAGGUUAAAAUGUUAAUGAAGUGACAAGGUCAAUGCAGUUGUAGCCUAUACAAAGGAGAUCAAAUCAAGUACAUGAUGCAAUAUUGUUAACUCAGUAGUUAGAUCAUCUUAUAAUAUCUUUUACUGCAAUUUGAGUUUAGGUGUUGAGUGACAACUCCUUGUCAUUUUCAUUGUUCAUUGUGUAAUUUCAUUUUUCAUCUUAUAACAUCUCUUCCCGUUUACCAAUAAUACCAUGGUAAGAACUCCACAAAUAGUUUGAUCAUUAAUUAGAGACAAUCAUAUAGCGACAAUACUCAAUAUCUUAGAAGAUCCUAAUUUAAUCCGACCUAAAGAUUCCUUCAUUAAAUUUGACAUAGUCUAUCGAGCCUUGUGGUGUUUCUCAAAUAGAUUAAGUGUUGUCAAUCGCAUAAAAUAACUGUUUGUUCAAUAUUUGCUACGCUACAACACUACGGUGCCACUCUAGCAGCUAAUUGACAACACUUAAUACUGAAUUGCAUAUCAUCGAGCACUAGCAGAUUGUUUAAAUUCCUCUUUGCUAUAGCAAUAUAUAGCUAUUUGACAACAUUGAAUAGACCUCACAAAUUUUGGGUUUAUUCUAACUACAAUUGAAUCCUAACAUAGUUAAAAGGACAAAUCAAAAGAUGAUGAUGUGAAAGGAUUAUAGGAAUACAUAAUGUAAAUAACAUGAAAAACUAGAUAGAAAGCACCAAAUUUUGACAGAAGAACAUCACACCUGAGCAUCAUACAUAACCAGACCAGCAUACACAACUGCAAGACCAAAAAUGGGAUCUGAGAGGCCCCUGCAUUUGGAUAACAAUAAACAAUUAAAAAAUAACGCACGAACAACUAGGGUCUAUCUACUUUCUGAAAAUGAUUUUCACUUUGUAUGGCAGUGACUGAAAUGACAUUUUUUUAUGAACUUUUGCUUUAAUUGUGAUAGAGAAAAUAUGGAAGCUAACUAGAGAGAAUGCAUUUCCGCAAACACUAUAAACAAUGCUUGACAGUUUUCACAAUUUUCAGAUUUAUUCAAUCUACUUUUAAAGGCAUUUUCAAAAACUUGUGGAAAUGAAAACAGGAAAUACAUGAAGUAAACAGGUCUUAUAUUUUUAAGAAAAUUGCAAUUUCAAGAGGGUAAAGAGAAAAAUGCCAUGAACCAAACACCAGUUGUCCUAACUGAAUUAUCUUACCUCUCAAGGCCAAGGAAUGUUGCACAAGACACUGUUGCCUAUCCACAGGAAAACGUAAACAACAAUGUGAGAAUAAAAGUGAAACCCAACUAUGUGAAAAAUCGACAAAAGUCUAUUGGCAUAGAUGAAAAUGAAAAGAAAGUAAGAUUAAUAAAAGGUUUCAAGAUCAUACAGAAGAGUGUGAAGAUGGAAACCCUCCAGGUUGAAGAAGAGCCUUGAUAUCAAACUCUUUGCCAUACAAAAACACAGAAGUAAAUGGCUUAGAAAUUUGCCCAAUUGCCAUUGAAACUCCAGCUGCAAUCAGAACCUUAACAGCAUAAUAUCACAAAUGAGAAAACAAAUGCCAAUUCAGAAAAAUAAAACAACAAAACAAUAAUUAGGAUAUGAUAGCUUAAUGUAGCACCUACACUUCAGAUUAAAGACAUAUCUAGUAAACAACACUGACACAUGUGGUUUCAUUCAAAUUUUCAGAUUAUUAUCAGUGCCUUGUUCGGUAUCAGACAUCAACACGACAGAUACACAUGUGUUUACAUUCAAAGUAUCAGUAUCAUGUCUAUUGUUUGUAUAGGUACUUCAUAAUAAUAAAAAUAAAAUAAAAAAUAUAUUUAAGAGACAAAAAAAAACAUGAGAAAGCCAUAAUUUGUUGAUAUGAAAAUGGGGUACCUUAUUAUGAGCAAUUUGAGCGAUGUCACCAAGGGAAGAAAUUCUAAAGGUUGAGGCAUUGGGGCUUCUAGGAAAAUAAAAAGGGAAGUUUUGUUUGUGAAGAAGUGGGUUCCUUUGUUUGAGUGAGGAAGGAAUUGAAGAGAAGUUUGAUUGUUGCAACAACAUCAUCGUCCCUAACAUUGCUUAGUUAAGGUCAACCAUGAAACAUGUUCUGUUAAGGUGCCACUCGAUGUUUCUUUCUGCUCAGUAAAAUGAAAUUUGAAAAAACACAAUGAAAUAUGCGCCUUUGAAGCCACUACUAGUGGAUAAUGAUAAUAAUAUAGGGAAGAAUUGAAAAGAGCUAUUGCUUGCGCACUUCACAAAGCUUUCUUUGUGUCUGUUUUUUUUUUUUUUUUUUUUUUUUUGUGUAUUGACUGGUGUUUUCUAUUCUUUUAUAUGAUUUAUUUUCAAUUUCCAUUUUCGAUAUGUCAUUUUACGAUAUUGCCCACCAAGUUUGAUUUGGUUUCUGAAGUGAUUAGCUCACUAUUAAAUAUGGAAGGUUAAAUCUACUUAUUGUUGAAAUAUUCAUAUUUUAUUAUAUUAUAUUUCAAUAAUAUUAUAUCGAUAUAUAUUUUUUAUUAUAAUUUUAUUAAUUAUUUAUCAAAUUAUGUAUAGAUGUCAGAGUGGAUCUUUAUAUUUGAUUUAUUGAGAUGAAUUAUAAUUUAGACCAUAAUUAUGAGUUAUGUAGCUUGUGCACAUUUACGUUUUCUAUUUUCUUUGGGUUUUUGCUACGAAUCUAGUCUUGAUAGAUUAAUACAUGUGAUAUUUUUUGGUCGAAGCCUUUGACCUUAUUUGAGAAAAUGUUCAUUGUGACAGUAAGAUGAAUUUAAAGUUUUUGUUUAUUUGUUAAUUCAAACUUCGGUAAAUGUGAUCUGAACGAUUAUAAAUUUUGACGGUUUGUGUUACUCAGCAAUCGGUCAUGAAAGAUUGGUUAAAUAUUUUUUAAUUGACUAGUCACUAGUGCAAUUAAUAUCAAGCAAGUCAUAAACACAAAACCGUUGCAUAUAUGGUGUCUAUCAAUGCUAGCGGCGCAUUUGGCUCAUCAGUGCAACAAUUAAUUUGAUUCCAAUUGCUUAUUAUUAAUUACUACAAUUUUGUUAGACCCACUUUCAUUUUUAUUAAGUUUAUACAUAUUUUUCUAAUUAUGCUUUUAGGAUAUAUUUCCGUUUGCAUGUGAAUUUGUAUUCACGCUCAAGUAGUCUUGUACAUUUAAGAUUUUUUUUUUAUUUAAUUUGAUAAAUUAGUUUGUCAAGUAAUUAUGAUAGAAUUGAUUAAAACAACAAGUUGCACAAAAUAACAUUUGGUGCGUAGAUUUACUUCGAUCAAAAUUAUAAAGGAUGUAAUAUGAAAUUAUUCAUAUGAGUUGUUGUCAGUAUGAAAGAAGGCACAAUUUGGCUAGAUAGUUUCAUAGUUGUAAGCACAAAGCAACUGCUGCGUAGAUUUGAUUCAAUGAGAAUUACAAAAAAUGUAGUAUAGAAUUGCUCAUGCGAUUAUAGUCGAUCAACGUAUACAAUUUAAUUGAAUAUUUUCAUACUUAUGACGCGUGGUGAUUAUUAAUUUGUUUUCAAGUGGAUAAUGAAGAUGUCAAAAGACACCUAUUAUUUGAUAGAAAUUAUUACCAAUAUUUGAUCAUUCCGAUGAGUGUACCGCUUGCAGUUAAGUCAUGCAUAGUCAAAAGAUUGUGGAUUAAUAGUUCACUUGGUAACUUGUUUUAGUCUUUUAAUUUACAAAUAAAGAUAAAUAGUGCACAUCUUUAUAAUAAUUGUUGAUGUGUCUACUAAUGUUGUUUGUAUAAUUAAAUCCUUUAAUUAUUUGACCGAUUUUAAUUUACACAUAUGAUGGUAAAUAUGUGACAAUUAUAAGGAUAUAUUUUUUAACAAUAGUAAUUGUUAUUGUUUGAUCAUUGCAAUAAAAUACCACUCGCAAUCAAUAUUAUUGUCUAAAGACUUCAUAAUUAAUGUUGCAAUAGGUAUUUUAAUGAGCACAUUUUGUUGUUAUUCUAUUUAAACUAUUAUAAUUUAUGUAUAUGUUAUAUUGAGUUUUAUAAUAUUAUCUUAAAAAGUUCCAACUUUUAGAAUUUAUGAAACAUCAAUAUCCUUCUUGGAUUUAGAUCUUGUAUAAGAAUAAAGAAACUUUAUUCCUCUCACAAUUUAAUAUUUCUAAAGUUAGAGUCAAGUCUGAAACGUGAGUUUUCUCCAAAACACAUCGGUAAUUUGAACAUAAAAUAUGAUGUUAAAAAUAUAUUAGAGGUUUUAAUUAAGACUACAUGUUUGUCGUAUUUUCUUUGCUUAAAUUAAAGUGAUUUUAAAGCAAUAAAGAGAAAACAAGCACCCAUUGAGAAGCUAGCAUUUCAAUAAGAUUAUUAGGCAAAGAAAAAUAAAAUGAGCACAUUAAGUAAAUAUUUAAUCUUAUAAAUACGCAAAAAAUUUGACUGUCAAGUAAGUUGCUCAAAACUUUUUCAUUUGAUAUUCUCCUUGCACAAUUAAGUUGUAACUCCUAAAGUUAGAAAUAAUCAUUUAAAUAAGAUAAUUUCAUAAGGUGUUCAAAAAAGAAAGUAGUGCAGCAAGAGAAAAUAAAAUAGUGAUCAUUUGAAAAAUACCUAAAAAGAUAAAGACAAAUAAAGAAAAUUAAAAUGCAACCGAUAAAUGUCCAAUAGUGUUGAAAAAUACAUCAAUUUAAAAAGGGCAAAGUCAACAAAGAUUGAGGUAUUUUUAGAUUGUCGUUAGUUGCUUAUAUUUAAAUUUAAUUCAAUUAUAACUUGUGACAAUCUAUAAUUACUGAAAGGUUUAAAAAAUUUGUUGAUGUAAAAACUUUUUUGAUGUAUGUUUUAAUGACAACAAACCUUAUGAAAUAAAUAAUUAAGUUUUAUGAAUGGUAAUCUACUAAUGAUUGCACUUGAGUUUUAUUUAAGAAAUAUGACUUGCAUAAGCUGGAGAAUGAGAUGAUUGACCGAGAGUACUUAUGAAACCCGACAUUGAAAGCAAGAAAUCAUUCACAUCAACAAGUGCAUAAGUAUCUACUCAAUAAUGAAAAAAUCUAAAAAAGAAUAUAUCAUAUAUUAAUCAUUUAAGAGAAUGAUUAUUAGAUCUUCAAGAUAGCAUCUUCAUGAAGCAAGUGUCCAAUACAUUCAUACUUAUACUAAAGUAUCUCAGUGAUACUUGAUGGACAAGAUACAACAUGAGAAACACCAAGAUAAAUUUUAGAAAGUAUUGCUUCAACAAAAGAAUGAUGGAAGAAACAUUCACCAUAAUGUUCUGGCUAUUCAAUUAAAGAACAAUUGAAGAAUGGAGCAAUUAAAAGUCAACUUGUGAUCUUUUUAGAAGAACAAAAUGUAGUAAAUCAAUUGGCAUUUUGCACAUGGUCUUCCCAACAUUUAAUGAGCAAUUAAAAGUUAAUAUUUGAAUGUCUACUUGCAAAAACAAACAUGCAGAUUGAUCUCCAAAUUGAUGACAAAUUGAUCUCAAGAGCAUUUUGGUUUAUCAAGAUCAUUCUGGUUCAUCAAAUGAUCAUUCAAUUUAUCAAAAUAUUAUUUUGGUUUAUUAAAAGGUCAGUCUGGUUUAUCAAAAUUAAUCAUUUUGGUUUAUUGAAAAUAAUAGUCUAGAAAAACAAAGAUCAUUCUGGUUUAUUAAAAACAACAGUCUGGAAAAACGAAGAUCAUUAUGGUUUUUUACAGCCUUCAAUCUAGUAAAACCAAAAUCAUUCUAGUUUGCGAAAAUUAAAAACCUUCUUCAAACAACAUCAUUCUAGUUUGUGAAAGUACCAGCUAUAUUCACAUAAUAUCAUUCUAGACAACUUUUCCCAAAAGAUUAAAAGAAGCAAAUUAAAACAUCAAAAACCAUAACAAGAUGUACCUCUAGAUUGAUGUUCUAUGAAACAAGUUCAACUAGGACGUCAAGGAUAAGACACUGAGGUUGCAUCUCUACAAAAAGUCAAUGUGCGUACUGAUGACUCUUCACCAUAUGCAUAUUUUUCAUUGAUUUUAGUCUUAUUUAUCUUUAACCAUUAGUUAAUUUAAGGAGUUAUUUGAUAUAUUUUGUUGAUUUUAGUUCUUGGAUUUAAUGAAAUGUUUAUGUUCUUAUUUGCUUGAUUAAGUAGUUCGUAGUUUUGUGUUGUUACUUUGUUUUGGUGCAGUGCUGAAUUUUGGUGAGAAAUCAACAUGACCUAUGUGGAGUAUUUCAGCCAUAUCUGGAGUUGUAGAUGUCCAAUUGGAGUCACACCAAGUGAAAAUGAAAGCUAAGAUCCAUAGCUACAAUAUUCAUGAAGACACCGGAACCAAAUUCAGACUCGAAAGAAGAGAAAUAUACAGUAUACGUCAGAUAGUAGAUGUUGUGCGUCUAAAGCGCAAUAGCCGCGUCUGAGACGAAUUUCUUGCCUUUCAGCGUGUUUUCUGCGUCUGGGGCACGUGGACACGAUAACAUUCAUUAAAAAUGCAAGUUUUCACUUUUUAGGGAUCUUUUUGACUAUUGAGAAGUUGGGAGACUUGUGCCACAACAUAGAAACUCAAAGACGGCCGUUUCUAACAUCAUUGAAGCAGUUUUAUCAAAAAUCAUUCAUGAAUGUUUCUUGUAAUUCCUCUAUAAUCUCUAUCUUUUAUAACUCUGUUAUGAGUAACUAAACCAUAUUUGUUAGAGAUGAGUGUAAUAAGAUGAAACCCUUAUUUUUCUAAUUUGAUUUCUAGUUAUAUGAAUGAGUUUAUUUAAUUGUUUUUCUCAUCUCUGUGCUUAAUGCUUUUUAUUGUUUGAUCAACAUUAAAAUAUUCUACAAUUCGUAUUUUGUAACAAAAGUGGACUUUAUGAAUUUGUAGUCUAGGGAUAGAUACAGGUCAUGAAACCAAUUAAAUUAGUUGCAGAGACAAUAGUUUAAAAAGAGGAUUCAUGUACGGUAAUGCUUAAUUCUAAUAUUAAAUCUACUAAGGAAUUAGGAGUUACUUUGGAAUUAAAGGUUCUGCCACUAAGACAUUAUGGCAAGAAUAAUAAAGAAAAUUUGGUAAUAAUUCAAUAAAGGAAUUCAGUAACUAGGAUCAAAUUAGACACCAAGGUUGGAUUCGAAGUGAAACUCAUCCCUGACAUUUUUCUGAUUAUAACAGAUCAAUUUUAUUAUUGUUGUUAAUUUCAAAUAUUAUUUCAAUCAAUUCAGAAACUUUUUGUUCAAUUUUAAUAAUUAAAUAUAAUUCGAAAGUAAAAUGCAAUCCUUGAGUUCGACACUCGGUACUACCGUUUUAAUUAUUACUUAGAACGAUUCAGCACACUUGCUGAAACGCUAUCACGUACAAAGUAGAAAAAGACUGACAUCAAACAACUGUCAAAAGCUCUCAGUCCAACACUUACUCAAAACAGAAAUGAAGAACGUUAAGGUUUUACACAAAAGAACAUCCUAAUUAUUCUAUUUUAAAGAUAUAAUUAAAACAUAUAAUUUUCCACACUCCAAAACACAAUUUAAAGAGUAUCAAGACUGCUCAAAUCAACGGUCAAGCCCAUAACUCGAGUUGAAUGCCCAAAUGAGGAAAACAACCUCUGAAUUGAUGACCAAUUCGAUCUCCAAAGUGAUGAGUUGUGAGCAAGGACACAAAUACAUUAUACUUACAUUAUUCUACAUAAAUUUGAUUUGAAAUAGUACCAACUGACAUUUCACAACUCAUUCACGUUUUCCAUUAGACUCAAAAGAAAGAACAUUCUUUGUUAGUCAAGAACAUUCUGGACAGUAAUAUAAACAUGUGUUUAAUUGCUUUAAAAUAGAUCUGACACUUGGGAAAUGUGUUCAACGACUAUAUUCAGUUUAAACUGGAUAUUCAAAGUCUUUUAUGAUCUAUAAAUUAAAUAUCAAUUGAAAGAUGAAUGCAAUAGUUCAAUUUAAAAAUCUACCAAUAUUUGUUCAAGUAAUAACAAGUCAAAACUCUUCAAGAAAACUCUAUCUCUUUUCUAUAUAUUUGUGGAUCAUCAUUUACUGAGUUUGUCUUUAUUUAUCUCAAACAAGUGUUGAGAAGUUUCAAGAUCCCAAACACUUUUAUCACACACAUCAUUUGUAACUCAAGUCUAUAUUUUAUGUUAGAUUGAGUAUGGUUGUAAAAAUGCUUUCAAGGCUAAAAUGUGAUUGUAAAAAUCCUUUCUAGGUUGAAAGGUGAAGAUUGUAAUUGACCAAGAUGUUUUCAAGAGAAAAAGUGUGAAGAAGAACAUUUUGGUUCUAAAGCACAUAAUGAAAAUCUCAUAGUUAGGAGGACUGGACUAGUCCGAGUUGGGUGAACCAGUAUACUUUUUGUGUGUGAUCUUUUUAUGUCUUAUCUUUAAUUAUUUGCACACACAAAUCGCACUUCAUUAUAAAUUGACCUAUUUUAUUUACUUCUAACAUAUCCAUAACAUUUUGGACAUUCUCUUUCAACUAAAAUUGAUCUUGAGUUAAUUUAAAUUAAGCACAAGAAUCAAAAUUUUAAAAGGGUCACAAUUCAAACUCCUAUUUCUUGUGAUUGACAUUGCUACUUCAAAAUCGGUUAUAGAUCAAUUCAAUAGAUGCUAUUGAUGUAGCAAAUUUAGGUCCUCAUAGGAUAUUAUUGUUUUUUCUCCCAAUCAAGUUAAGAAAAUUGUUUAUGAAGAUCAAAUUCAAAACCCUCAAGAACUAGAGCAUAUGAUGUCAUGAAUAAUUGACUGUAACGAGAAAUUAUAUUUGGUCUUCUUAAAAGAAUCUAUUGGACAGUCAUGAAACUCGUUGCUCAUUCUAAUUUUUUGAAACUAUAUAAGAUGAAUGUCAAUACAAUGUUUCUUAAUGACAACAUUAACGAAACAUCAUAGUGCAAAUCAAAGAAAAAUUUAUGUCAUAAACACAAAAUAAAUGAUUUGAAAACAAAUGUAAUUCAUCUUUAAGUUAAUGAAUAAGUCUCAUUAGUGAUACCACUGUUUCAUAAGGUAAUUAUCUUACGGCUUAAAUAUGUUUUUGGUCCCUGUAAAUAUAAGUUACUUUUAUUUUAGGCCAUGUAAAUAAUUUCUUUUAUUCAUAUCCUUGCAAUUUCAAAUAAGUUUUAAAAAGUCCUUAUUAAUUUUUUUUUAAUAAACAAUAAUGAAGUGGCAAAUUUGGCAUGAUUUGACUGUAUGAAUGACGCUGAGUACCUAUUUUUUAUUAUUAAAAAUUAAAUAACAAUUCAUUUAAUAAAAAAUUACCAAAAAAAUUGUUAAGCUUUCAUUUAUAAAUAAAAAAAAAAUUACAUAAAUUCAAAAACAAAAAACUCAGAAAUUUCAAUCCCAACCCCAUAAAUGGAUCAUCUUCUGCGAGCCAUUCAUUUAUUCAAAAAAGAACAAUUUCCAUCUUUCAAAAAAUAUUUUAUUAAAAUAAUAAAUAAAACAAAUCUUUCUUAUAAAAUAAAUAAACCCACAUGUUCAUCCUCAAGAAUCUGAGUUUCUUACUAUAAUAAAUGUACACGAAAGUUUACUAUAACAACAAUAGAUUAUGUUGGAACCAAAUUUGUUUUACAUUUAGAGUUUUGAUGUUAACAAAAAUAUUUUUUGAAAACAAUAUAUUUGACUUCAAAGAGUACGAAAGAAGAUUCAUGUUUUGGAAGAAAAUCUAAAAUAAGAUUUGAUUCAAAUUUAUACUUGAAGAAAAUCUAAAAUAAGAUUUGAUUCAAAAUUAUAAUUGAUGAAAAUAUAAAAUAAGAUUUGAUUCAAAUUUAUAAUUGAAGAAAUCUAAAAUAAGAUUUUAUUCAAAAUUAUAAUUGAUGAAAAUCUAAAAUAAGAUUUGAUUUAAAAUUAUAAUUGAAGAAAAUCAUUGACCAAGUUGAAAAGAAGAUAUAGUCUAGAUUUGAAGAAUACUUGAAGAAGAUUUGAAGAAGAUUCGAUCAAGAUUUAUCUACAACAAAAUAUAAAUAGAAUCAAUCUGAAGAAUUUACAAACUCAAUCUACAUAAAAUAGAAACAUAAUCAAUAUGAAGAAUUUACAAACUCAAUUUGAACAAGAUACAAUUCAGAAUUAAACAAGGUCUAAAUUGAAGUCCAAAUUUUCACUAUGAAUAGACACUCAAGGCUGAAGAAUAAAAAUAUCGAAAAGCAUAAAAGAGCAUAAGAACUCAAGCUCAAAGUUCUAAACUCAUCUUAGAGUUCAAAGAGAGAAACACAUGUUCAUGUUAGAAAUAUUUUCUGAGUGUUCUUUUCUUAGAGUAUGAGAGUUAUUAUCAUCAUCAGCUUUUUAGAAACAACUACUAAAGUUCCAAUCUUUUGUAUCCAACUCGACAGUGGUUUAGUUCCUUCUUCAAUAUGGGAUGUCAGGUUGUUAGGAGAAGACUUGGCUUGUAGGUCGAGGUGGUUAGUUCCUCAAAAGUCUAGGGUUGUCAGGUUGUUUGGGAAGACUGACUUGGAGGGUCAGGUGCUUUGUAUUCAAGGUUUUUGAAUUAGUCGAUUAAAGCAUUCUAAAUGAGGGGAUUGGAUGUAGCCAAGUUAGUGGUGAACCAGGAUAAAUCUACGUGUCAAAUUAUUUAUGCUUUCAUUGUUUGCUGCCUCUGAAUCUGAUUGCUUCUACUUUAAGUAAGUCACCAACACCAAACAAUAUUUUUUUAAUUAUUUAAAAACUAUCAAAAAGUUGUCAACUUUGGAAAACGACCCUUCUCUAAUUUUAACGUUCAUAUUAAACCUUCAAAACCUAUUGAUUAAUGGGAUUGAUUUCCUACUAAAAAAUUUAUAUUGUUUUACUAAAACUAAACCCCAAAUAAUUGGGUUUAAACAAACCUUUUCUGUUAGUUUUAUUCAAGCUCUCACUGCUACAAAAAUUGUAAAACACAUGUUUUUGAUGAAGACAAAGACCAAGGAAUGUGAUCAAAGUUACAAGCUCAAAAAGAAGUCAAAUAAUCAAAGUCAACUAUGGUCAAACAUAUUAGAAGUUUAAUAAAUGUAAAGGUACAUAAUGCAAUCUAAUAUUCUUAUAUUUCAAAUGCACACGAGAACCUUUCAUUUUAGUAUAUGCAUCAAAAGGAUUUUAAAAAUGUCAAAAAUGCAUAAACAAUGUUUUUGAAAAUAAUAUUUUUGGCAAAAUACAAUGUUGUAGCUGAAUACAACAUGUUGUAGCCGAAUACAGACAUGUCAGUAGCUAAAACUGAACAUCGGUAUUCGACUACGAGAUGGUGUAGUCGAAUACAAGUACUAAGUCAGUAGCAAAAACUAAACAUUUGUAUUCGACUACGAGAUGGUGUAGCCGAAUACAAGUGCUAAGUCAGUAGCUAAGAUUGCACAUUUGUAUUCGACUACAACCUGCUGUAGUCGAAUACAACAACAAGUUAGUGGCAAAAUUCACCUAGUUGUAUUCGAAUACAAGGUUUCGUAUUCAAAUACGAUGUUGAAAUUUCCAAUAAAAACUGAGCGUUACAGAGGUGUAUUCAACUACACACAAGUAGUAGUCGAAUACAACUGUAAACAAUGCAAUUUUUCAAUUCUAAAAUGAUUCUUGAUCAUUGCAUUUGUUCAUCAAACCUCUGGGAACGAUGGCCACUGAUCUGAAGUGAUGUCUAUGGAGUAUAAAUACCCCAUAACUUUAGUUUAAACAAAAAUCAAUCCUACUACCAAACCUUGAACAACUUUGAACAAUUUUUCUGAAAUAUUCUCAAAGUUAUUUUUCAUAUUUCAAGUACUUGCAUUACAUUUUCACAUCAUUGAGAAAAGUUUUCUAGUAUACUUGAAAUAUUAUUGGAUUGAUAUCAUUUACAACUAUUAUACUCAGAUUCUUAGUCAAGAACAUUUGUUAAAAAAUCAUUGAAGUUAUUGUAUUGUAUUUAAAGAAAGUAGUGUACUUUCUUUAAGUAUUAUAAUCUAAAAUAAUGGUGUUAUAUCUUAGGAAGUGUUUUAGAAGUUUGUAGCAGAGAUCCUAGGGUGGGAUUUGUACAUAUUCUAACAAUAGUGGAAAAAUCUCUUGUGGUGUGCAAGAGGACUGGAUGUACUGUUGGGCAUAAUGGGAACCAGGACAAUAUCGAUGUGUUCAUUAUUUUUCUGCCAUUUAUCUUUGUCAUACACUAUCUUAAUUAGAAAAAUCAAUCACUAAAUCUCUAAAAACAAGAAAAUUUCUAAAAACCUAAUUCACCUCCCUCUUAGGUGCACCUCUGUUCUUACAAUUGGUAUCAGAGUAGGUUCCGGUAAUUUGCUCAUCAAUCCUUAUUAAUGGCUUCCGCACAACCAGUUUUUAUAGAUGGUGGUAGUAGCAAUAAACCAUCAUGCUUCGUUGGAGAACACUGUGAAUUUUUGAAGAUACGCAUGCAGGCAUAUCUUGAGGCACUAGAAGAUGAUAUUUGGGAAGCAGUAGAAAAUGGUCCCUAUGUUCCAAAAACAGUCAUCGACAAUAAAGAAUAAACAAAAAUUAAAGUCUCAUGGACAGAUGAUGGCAAAAGGAAAUUGAUGUUUGAUAAGAAGGCAAAAAACAUAUUACAAUCAGCACUUGGAAUAGAUGAAUUCUUUCGCAUGUCACAUUGCAAAACGGCUAAAGAAAUCUGGAAUACACUUGAAGUAACUCAUGAAGGAACAAUUGAGGUAAAACGUUCUAAACUCGAUACAUUAUCUCAAGAAUAUGAAUUAUUUCGAAUGCAUCCCAGAGAAUCCAUUUUGGACUUACAUAAAAGAUUUUCUCAUAUGACCAACCAUUUGUCGACACUUGGAAAAAUCUUCAGUAAUGAUGAACUAAACCUCAAAAUGCUAAGAUCAUUAACAAGGUCUUGGCAGCCGAAAGUAACAGCAAUUUCUGAAAAUAAAAACCUAUAAAAAAGGUCUCUUUAUGCACUUUUUGAAAAACUUCAAGAACAUGAAAUUGAACUUGGAAGGUUAGAAAAUAAUGAAAGUCAAGAGCAGAAGACCAAGAAAAUUUCCUUGAAAGCAUAAUCAAAAGAACAAAUCAAUAAUAAAAAUUCAGUUGAAGAUGAAAACAUCACCUUUCUCGUAAAGAAAUUUGGUAAGUUUCUUAAAAACGAUAAAACUUUUAAAAAGAAAAGUUUCAGAAAGAAGGAUGUUUCCACUUCAAGCCAAAACUUCACUUGCUUUUAGUGUGGGAAGCAAGGACACAUAAAGUCAGAAUGUCUAAACACUAUCAAGAAAAAUGCUCUCAAUUCAAAAAGGCAUAUAUAGCAUGGGAGGACAAUGAAGUGAGUUCAUCUUCGAAUUCGAAAAGUGACGAAUGCGCAAAUGUUGCCUUGAUGGCAUCACAUCAAUCCGUUGAAGAAGAAGAAGUGAGUAACAAAUACUCUCCUCAUCAUAAUGAGACUAAUAGUGAAUUAAUUAUUGAAUAUAAUGAUGCUCAAAAUGCAAUUAAAGAACUACUUAUGGAAUGUAAAAAUUUAUUUAAAAUAGUGUCAACUCAAAAGAGACAAAUAUCAUCUCUUCAAGAGAAAAUUGACACUAUGAAAAAGGAUUCUGAAAAAUUAAAACAGAAUUUUACAUGCAAUAAGUGUGAUUCUCUUUCUUUCAAAAUUGUCCAAUUAAAUAGAGUAAUUGAAAGAUAUGAAAAAGGAUAAGUUGGAUUGGAAAAUGUGUUAAAUAUGCAAAGAUAUUCAAAUGACAAAAGUAGUAUUGGUUACUCAAAAUUUGAUAAACCAAGUAUAAAUAAAACUAUCUUUGUUAAAGCAAGUGACCAAUCCAAAGAGAAAAUUAUAAUUAUGCCAAGAGAUCAUCAUUUUAAGGAGAAAGUUAUUCAAAAGAAAUCUCACAUACAUACAUAUAGAAGUAAAUAUACUUCUACAUGCUUUUAUUGUGGUCUAAAUGGUCACACACCUAAUGCUUGUCAUUUUAGAAACUUUGGUGUUCCAAAUGGGCAUUAUGUGUGGGUCAAGAAAGGUACUAAUCCUCAAGGACCCAAAGCACUUUGGGUACCUAACAAAUCAUGAUCUUAUUUUGUAGGUAUGCAAACAAAGUACCUCUAAUAUGUGGUAGUUGGAUAGUGGAUACUCAAAACACAUGACCGAUGACAAAACAAAAUUUUCAGUUCUAACUCUUGAAUCAAAAGGUUAUGUGAUCUAUAGAGAUAACAACAAGGAAAAAAAUUUAAGCCUGUGAAAAAAUUGGUACAUCCCCAUCUCAUUCAAUAGAAGAUGUUCUAUAUGUUGAGGGUUUAAAACACAAUCUUAUUAGCAUCAGCCAGCUUUGCGACAAGGGUUACAAAAUUGCUUUUAACAAAGAUGAAUGCAUUAUCCGAAACGAAGUAUCAAAUGAAAUCCAGUUUGUUGGUAAGCAUUUUAAAAAUAUUUUUAUACUUAAUCUUGAUGAUUUAUCCUUAAAAAUGAAAUGUCUUAUGGUAAGUGAUAACAAUGAUGCAUGGCUGUAGCAUAAAAGAAUUACACAUAUCCAUAUGGAUCAUUUAAACAAGUUAGUCAAGCAUGACCUUGUUGUAGGCUUACCAAAGAUGAAAUUUAUAAAGGAUAAAUUAUGUGAUACUUGUCAAAAGGGUAAGCAAACUAAGGUUUCAUUUAAACCCAAGAAUAUUAUAUCAACCUCAAGACCACUUAAAUUGAUACAUAUGGACUUAUUUGGUCCAUCAAGAACUAAAAUUCUUGGUGGAAAUUCAUAUGGACUAGUAAUUCAUUGAACGUUUGUAUUCGAUUAUGAGAUGAAGUAGUCAAAUACACGUGCUAAGUUAGUAGCAAAAAUUGAACAUCUAUAUUCAACUACGAGAUGAUGAAGCCGAAUACAAGUGUUAAGUUAAUAACUAAGACUGCAAAUUUGUAUUCGAUUGCAACUUGGUGUAGUCGAAUACAAUAACAAGUUUGUUGCAAAAUUCACCCAGUUGUAUUCGAAUACAAUGUUUCAUAUUCAAAUACGAUGUUGAAAUAUCAAAUAAAAACUGAAUGUUAUAGAGGAGUAUUCGACUACACACAAGUUGUAGUUGAAUACAACUGGAAACAAUGCAAUUUUUCAAUUCUGAAAUGGUUUUGGAUCAUUACAUUUGUUCAUCAAACCUCUAGGAAUGAGGUCACUAAUCUGAAGUGAUGUCUAUGGAGUAUAAAUACCCCAUAACUUCAGUUUAAACAAAAAUCAAUCCUACUACCAAGCCUUGAACAACCUUGAACAACUUUGAACAAUUUUUCUGAAAUAUUCUCAAAGUUAUUUUUUAUAUUUCAAGUUCUUGCAUUACAUUUUCACAUCAUUGAGAAAUGUUCUCUAAUAUACUUGAUAUAUUAUUGGAUUGAUAUCAUUGUACAACUAUUAUACUCAGAUUCUUAGUCAAGAACAUUUGUUACAAAAUCAUUGAAGUUAUUGUAUUGUAUUUAAAGAAAUUAGUGUACUUUCUUUAAGUGUUGUAAUAUAAGAUAAUGGUGUGCUAUCUUAGGAAGUGUGUUAGAAGUCUGUAGCUGAGAUCUUAUGGUGAGAUUUGUACAUAUUCUAACAAUAGUGGAAAAUCUCUGGUAGUGUGCAAGAGGACUGGAUGUACCGUUGGUCAUAAGGGGAACCAGUAUAAUAUCGAUGUGUUCAUUAUUUGUACUGCCAUUUAUCUUUGCCAUACACUAUCUUAAUCAGAAAAAUCAAUCACUAAAUCUCUAAAAACAAGAAAAUUUCUAAACACCUUCAAAACCCCAAACCCCCCCCCCCCCCCCCUCUUAGGUGCACCUCUAUUCUUUCAAAAGUCGAUGGCAAGUUCUAUUCGAAUCCUAAUCCAAGCCGAACAUAGCCGCCUACGUCGAGAAGAAUUUAGAAACAACCAAGCCUUAUAUUAUGAUGCCAUCGCUGACGUUGAAGAUAGGCUAAGAUGGAAUAGUUGAAUCUAAGUUUAAGAUGGGUUUGGAUGGGAGCAGAGUGGUCCUUAGUUAACUGUGGUAUAUGCUUGUUGUGCGAAACCGAGAUGUUUUUAACGAAAGUUUAACAAUGAAAGAUCUUGGAGACGUCUCUUUUUUUAUUUGACAUUGUAAUACCUAGAGAUAUUUCUCAUGGUAUCCUUGGGUUAUCACAUGAGAGAUAUAUCAAAUCAAGUGACAUCUUAAUCACUUAAGGGAUACUAUUUUAGUCUCAAAUUUUGCUAAAUAGAAAAUUUUGAAAUUCGUAACCAUUAGUUAUUUCUCCAUGCUUUAGUUAUGGCGAGUCUAAUAUAUGAUCUUAUUUAUACGUAUUUGGAAAUAGUGUAUAUAGUACAAUCAAUUGAUAGAUACUUUAGCAAUAUAUGUUUGAAUUACUAACAAAAACAACCAUAAGGAUUGUUAAAGAGAACAAUAGAGGUUAUGUUCACUAAUCAGAGAUCUAACAAUUUGGAGAUCAUCAGUAUAUUUGACCUUGACUUUUUAGAUGUCUACAUAAAGAGGACACCUUAACUUAGGAAAUGGUUGAUUUAUUUAUGCCAUUUGGUUGCAUAUAGUUAAAAGUAUUGAAAGGCCACUCAAAUUAUAUUGUGACAUAAAUCAACCGUUUAAUGUUUCAACAACAAAUUUUAUAAAGUGUAUUGGUAUACAUCUUAUUGUUGUUGAAGAUUAGAAAAUAUAGAUAUAGACUCAAUGCUAGCUGACCCACUAAUAAAGGCUUUGACACCUAAGGUGUUUCAUAUGGUUGUUAUCACUAAGGAUGUCUUAGAUUAGUGGUAGUCUCUCUUCCUUUAUGUUCUAUACUUUGGUUUUGAAAUUGAUAUGGACUUUAUGUUACGAUUUUCUGUGGAAAUAAAGUUUAUGAGGUUAUCAUUAUAGUAACCGUUUUGUAUUGUGUGUGCAAAUAUUAAUUUCACACUAGAGGAACUUCAGUUUCAUCUCACUAAAGAUUUAGUUGGACCAGCUGGAAAUAGGCGUGAUAUAGAGAUCACAUUGAUCUAUGUCAUCAAGUACAUUGAUGUGGUGAUCGUCAUGGUUUAGUCAUAUAGUAUGUUAGUGACGACAACCGCCGUGGUCCCACUAUUAAUGUAUGAGGUGGACCAGAUUGUAAAAGAAAAUCUAAGGAUAAAUAACAUUUGGAUGUGCAUCUAAAGAAUUAUGAUAAAUUAUUACGAUAUAUUGCUCAAUUGGGAGAUCGUUGGAAUAUUUAUAUUUUAUUAUAUUAUACUCCAAUAAUAUUAUGUGGACAUAUAUUUUCUAUUAUAAUUAUAUUACCUAUUUGUCAAUAAAGACCUUAAUUUAUUAGUGAUCAUAUUAAAAAUAAGACUAUUUAGACUUUUUAUUAGAUAAUUAAUAAAUAAUUAACUAAAUGAUAUUGGCCAAAUUAUGGGUGGAUGUUAGAUGUCCCAUUGAGGAAUAUUGAGAACCGAAUUGACUAUCACUCUACAUAUAUGCUAUGAUCUCCAAUAUACUUGACACACUGCAUAUUGUCUAUUCUCCCCCAUCUGAAUAGUGCUUAGGAUAUAAAAAGUCUAAGUUGAAGAAGAGCCAUAAAGUCAACAGGUACUCGUCAUCCGUCUCUAUUUUCAGAAUCAAUGCUUAGAGACAGUUCAAGCAUGCCACCAUACAGACUUUGUAGAUUGAUUUGGUAAUAUCACAUGUUAGAGUAUCUUGCAAAUCAUCAUUGACGCAUCCAAGCUUUUGUUCCAGAUUGAACUCUGAUAUAGCACGGGUGAGGAAAAAUUAUACUUACUUUAUCUAUAGUAUUUGUCUUAGCAUAAAUUUUAGAUUUAAAAAUUAAUGUAAUUCAGCUUGAUUUUCAACUAGAUAAACUUUAUAAAUGCAUGUGUAUGUUUUUUUUAAUAGGUAAAUGUUAAUAAAUAUAGAUGUAUGUACUAUUUUUUUAAUGGUGUAGGUGUAUGUACCAUUGGAAUAGUUAAAUCAUACAAAGAGGUAAAUGAUAGCGUUUCAGCAAGUGUACUGAAUCGUUGCAAGAAAUAAUACAAUGGCAGUAACGAGUUUCGAACUCAAGAAUUGCGUUUUACUAUCGAGUUGUAUUUAAUUACUAAAAUUGAACAAAUUUUUUUCAAAUUGAUUGAAAUAAUAUUUAAAAUUAACAAUAGUAAUAAAAUUGAUCCUUUAAAAUAAGAAAAAUGUCAGGGAUGAGUUUCACUUCGAAUCCAACCUUGGUGUCUAAUUUGAUCUUAGUUACUGAAUUCCUUUAUUGAAUUAUUACCGAAAUCUCUUUAUUAUUCUUGCCCUAAUGUCUUAGUAACAAAACAUUUAAUUCCAAAGUAACCCCUAAUUCCUUCGUAGAUUUAAGAUUAGAAUUAAACUUUACCAUACAGGAAUUCUCUUGUUAAACUAUUGUCUUUGAAACUAAUUUAAUUGGUUUCAUGACCUACAUCUAUCCCUAGACUACAAAUUCAUGAAUUUCUCAUCUCAAGCAUUCGUAAAGUCCACUUCCAUUUCAAAAUACAAAUUGUAGAACAUUUUAAUGUUGAUCAAGCAAUAAAAAGCAUUAAGCACAUAGAUGAGAAAAACAAUUCAAUAAACUCAUUCAUAUAACUAGAAAUCAAAUCAGAAAAAUAAGGGAUUCAUCUUGUUACACUCAUCCCUAAAAAAUAGGGUUUAGUUACUCAUGACAAAGAUACAAAAUAUAGGGAUUAAAGAAGAAUUACAAGAAUGAUUCAUGAAUGAUUCUUGAUAGAACUACUCCAAUGAUGUUAGAAACGACCGUCUUUGAGUUUCUUUGCUAGGGCAUAAGUCUCCCAACUUCCCAAUAGUAAAAAAGAUUCAUAAAAAGUGGGAAAAAUGCGUUUAUAAAUAUUUAGCAGUGUGCCACGCACCACAGGCGUGAAAUUUGCACUUCAGACACAAGUGGACAGAGUCAGGAAGGCCAAAAUGCGCUCCAGGCGCAAGUUUUUGCGCUACAGGCGCACAACAUUUGAUUUAUGACUUUGGUUCUGGUGUCUGCAUAAAGGUUCUGGUGUCUGCAAUGGAUCUUAACUUUCAUUUGUGUUUGAUUUGACUCCAAUUAAAAAUCUACAACUCUAGAUGUGGGUUAAAUACUCCACAUAUGUCAUGUUGACUUCUCACUAUAAUUCAGCACUGCACUAAAACAAAGAAACAACGCAAAAAUACGAAAAAUCUCUACUUAAUCAAGGAAAUAAGAACAUAAACAUUUCAUUAAAUCAAAGAACUCAAAUCAACAAAAUAUAUCAAAUAACUCUUCAAAUUAUCUAAUGAUUAAAGAUAAAUAAGACUAAAAUAAUAAAAAAUAUGCAUAUGAUGAAUAGUUAUCACAACUCUAAACUUAAUAUGUUGCUUGUCCCCAAGCAACAAUUAAUUUCAGAUUUGGUACAGUUAAAAGUAAACUUAAACUCAAUUUCUCAAAUCAAAUCAAACUCAAUUUUCAAAAUUUCAGCUACUACAAAACAUUCAUCAUGCUAUAUGGUUGCUUACAAAAAACAACAAUUUGUACACUUUAGCAUUCAAUCGUCAAUUUAAAUUGCUUAGAAUGAUGUGAUUGAUCUCAACCAAUUAUAAAUUUAUAGUAGCUUUAAAUUUAUUGAUAAAAUGAAUAUAAUUAAAAUUUUAUAAAUUAGUGUUGCUAAAAUACUUUUCAAUAAACAAAAUUCACUGAAAAAACUUUAUUAAUAAGAUUCCAUUAAUUUUAUACAAUAAGAUUACAUUAAUUAAUAUUAUAUUAAUAUUAUUGAAAUUGAUUUGUCACAUGUAACAUUGGUACAAUUUUUUGUUGUAAGUGAGAAUAAAUUUCCUAAAAAUUGUAUUCUUUAGGAUUUUUUACGUAUAAAAUUUGGAUUUGAAAUCUUGAUAAUCUUAAUAACCUUACCUUAAUUAGUUGUAUUGUUAAAAAACGUUUCAUUGCUAUAAACAAAAAAAAUCCAUUUUCUUAAAGAUCAAACCACCCUAAAAACUAUUUACUAAAGAUUCAUUAGUUUCAUAGCAAAAUAAGAACAUUAAAUUAAUAUCUAUCUAUCUAUCCUAUAUAAAAAUAAAAAUAAAAGAUCUCGUCUAUUUUGUAAAAUGUACACGUAUCAUUAAAAUUGAACACAAAAUUGAUUAAUUAUAUGAUCAUAAUAUGAUAAUAAUAAUAAUAAUCAUUUUAUGAUAAUGAAUAUUAUAUAGUGUUGUUAAAACGAAGAUCAAUCAAUCACUAAAUCAAGAAUGUUAUUGGUUUCUGUAAAAUGAAGAACAUUCUUCAUUUUCUGACAAACAAAUUAAAGCUUUCAAUGCAAAAAAUGAGCACACACGAUUGUUAACUCAGUUCAGAGAUGAACUCAUACAUUUGGGGGACUGGAUCAAACUUUGAAUUAUCACUAAUAUGAGAUGAAAAAUAAUUACAAUGUUUUGUUGCCAGUUUUCCACACUCUACAAAACUGCAACUUGCAUUCUCUAUGAGUCUCUCUUAUUUUUCAGCAUUGCUUAACUUGGCUUAUAUACAAGUUGUUUAUAAUUUAGAAGCAACAAACAAAAGUAGUUAUAACUAACUAACUGAAAACUAACUAUCCAAAGUUAACUCUAUCUUCAAAGUCUUCUAAUUGAGUACCACAUAUUAACACAUCUCCACCUUGGUACAAAAUGAGAAGCUCCAGUCUGUGAUUCUUCAAGUCAGAUCCUCUUAGUCCUUUGCCUCAGUUUCUGGAAUUGAUCUUAAGCAAAUUCAAACACUGUCUGAAUUUGUUUAGUGUGACAUGUUUUGUAAACAUGUCAGCUGGAUUGUCACUUGUGUGCAUCUUUGCCAUAUUUAUCUCACCCUUUUCAAUGAUAUCCCUAAUGAAAUGGAGCUUGAAGUUUAUAUGCUUAGUUCUUUCAUGAUACAUUUGAUUUUUACUCAAAUGAAUGCACUUUGGCUAUCACAAUUUAUGCAACCUGACUCUUGUUUAACACCAAGUUCAAUGAUAAAUCCUUUCAGACAAAUUCCUUCUUUCGCAACUUCAGGAAGAGCAACAAAUUCUACUUCUGUUGUUAAUAAUGCCACUAUGUGUUGGAGAUUAACUUUCCAACUGACUGUGUUGUUGUACACUGUAAACACAUAUCACGUAAGAUACCUUCUUCUAUCUAAAUCUCCAGCAAAAUUAGAGUCUACAAAUUCUUGGAUUGGUUUUGAUGGUUUUCAACUUUUGUUGUAUUCCAAACACAUGCUUUGAGUUUCCUUUAGAUACCUUAGAAUCCAUUUGACAGAUUGCCAAUGGCUCAUCCCUAGAUUUCCUGUAAAUCUGCUUGUGACACUUACAACAUGAGAAGUGUCUGACCUUGAGCAGACCAUAGCAUACAUGAUACUCCCUAUGGCACUUGCAUAUGGUAUUGUCUUCAUGUUUUCUAUUUCUUGGUUUGUGUUUGAUGACAUGUCUGAAGAAAUUUUGAAGUGAGUUGCAAGUGGAGAGCUAACAACCUUUGAUUCACUCACAUUGAAUCUAUUUAGGACUUUUCCAAUGUAGCUUUCUUGAGAAAUUAUCAGUUUUCCUUGCUCUCUGAUUCUGAUGAUUUCCAUUCCUAGAAUUCUUUUGACUGGCCCCAAGUCCUUCAUCUCGAAUUCUUUCUUCAGUAGGCUCUUCAAUUUUUCUAUUUCUUUCAUACUCUUAGAUGCUAUUAACAUGUCAUCCACACAUAUAGCAACAAGUAAAUGUAUGUUGCUGAUGAUACUUGUUUAUAAUACACACAACUAUCAAAAAUACUUCUAACAUAACUUUGACUAAGCAUGAACGAAUCAAAUCUCAAAUACCACUAUUUUGGUAAUUGUUUUAGCUCAUAGAGUGACCUCUUUAGCAAGAAGACCCAAUCCUCAUUUCCUUGAGUCCUAAAGCCAUCUGGUUAUUGCAUUAAGAUUGUUUCCUUCAGGUCACCAUGAAGAAAUGAUGUUUUGACAUUCAUCUGCUCUAAUUCCAUGUCAAAGUGUGCUACCAUGGCUAGAAUUAUCCUUAUAGAUGCAUGCUUGACAACCAGAGAAAAUAUUUCAUUGUAGUUUACACCUUCCCUUUGAGUGAAUCCCUUUGCUACUAGCUUUACUUUGAACCUAGUUGGUUCAACUCCUGAAAUUCCGUCAUUCCUCUUGAAGAUCUACUUGUUGCCUACAAGUGUUGUUCCCAAGUAUUGUUCUUCUCUAGUGAUUUCAGCUCCUCAGUCAUGGCUAAAGUUCAUUUGUCUUUGUCUUGCGACCUGACAGCUUCAUUGUAGUUCAUAGGAUCUUCUUGUACGAUUCCUUGAGCAGCAUGUAAUGCAUAACUGACCAUGUCUACACAACUAUAUCUUUGAGAGGGUUUUGAUGUCAUUCUUUCUCUAUCCCUGAUGAGAUUCUAGUCAUCUACUUCAUGUUCUUCUGGACUAUCAUGGUCUGGAAACAUAACAUGUUCAGAUGUAUCAGUCUUGUCUUAUUGAGUCGGCUAUUGAUCUGAAACCAAGAAUGCUCUUGGUUUUUGGUGACCUUUCUCCUUUUAUAUGGCUUGCUCCACCACAAGAUAAAAUCUCUCAGCUUCAGUUUGAUGUGCACUUUCAUUUUCAGCUUUGGUUAUUGACUUAUAUAGGUUAGCCUCAUGAAAUUUAACAUCUCUACUGAUGAUACAUUUCCUACUUUCAAGACACCAUAUCUUAUAACCUUUUACACCACUUGGGUAUCCAACAAAGUACCCUUUCUUGGCUCGAGGAACUAGUUUCCCUUCAUUUACAUGAUAGUAUGCUGCACAUCCAAAAACUUUUAGGUGACUGUAAUUAGCAGCAUGUCCAGUCCACAUUUACUGAUGAGUUUUGAGUUUAAUUGUAGUUGAAAGACUCAAGUUUAUCAAAUAGAAAGUGUAUGGACAACUUCUCCCCAAAAGUGUGCAGGCAUGCCUACAUUUGAAAGGAUGCAUCUCAUUCUUUCAAGCAAUGUUCUAUUCAUCCUUUCAGCUAGUCCAUUUUGUUGAGGUGCGUGUCUUGCAGUCAUAUGCUUAUUCACUCCAUUAGUUUUGCAAAAACUAGUGAACUCCUCACUACAAAAUUCAAGUCCAUACUUUUAAGGUUUUGAAUGCUUCAUCCUUACUUUUCAACAAGUAAAUUCACACUUUUCUACUAUAAUCAUCAACAAAUAUAAUGAAAUACUGGUUACCUCCAUGUGAAGUGUAACACCCUUUUUUUAAUUAAUUAAUUUAAAAUCGUUAGUUUUGUUUAUCCUUUUAUUAAUUUAGUGUGACGAUAGUAAGAUAAUAAUUCUUUGGAUGUUUAAUUAUUUGAUAAAGUAUUUUCAUAUUAAAUAAUUUAUUAUUUGGACUUUUAUUAUUGACUAAGUAAAAUUCGUAGAAAUAUUUGUCUUAGAGUGAACAAUGACCAAGCCAGAUUUGACUAAGUCAAAAUUGAAUCACCCACACUACUAUUUUUAUAACUAUAUUUUAUAAUAUUUAGUUUAUAUUGUGUCCAUUCAAAUGUGUAACUAGCAAGAAUAAAUACAUGAAUGUCAAUUAAUUCUUAACAGUUGAUCAUUGAAUGACAUUAUUUCAAUUUAAUUCCUUAUUCAUGUGUGCAAUUAAACCCAAUGAAGAGAAUUAUUCAUUCUCUCUGAUCAACUUUAUGCCUCCUUUAUUAGUCACAUACACCUCUCCUUCUUAGGACACGAUUAACUUGCAGUAGAGGAAAAUAAGUCAUAAUCACUCACACGCCAUUACCAACACUACACUUAUCUCGAAUACUUUCUAAGCCACUCAAAUAACCAUCCUUACAUUCCCUCGCAUUCUGAUCGAAGCUAUAAACUUUUAUUCAUUGGUGAGAUUUUCGAGGACUAUAUAGUGGUACGUGGAAGGAAAACGUCCAAGGUAAGGGCUUUUCCCCAUGCAGAGUUAGGUUAGAUAUUAAAUUAGCGAUUCGUAAGAUAUUGAUAUGAUGUCUGGAUGUAUUAAAAGAAAAAUGUCGAUUUUAUUUUCGUCAUAAAGAAAUUAACUAUCAUGCUUUGAUUGUUUCUUUUGAGUAAUAUCUCUAUUUUGAUGAAAUUAAUUAUAGAAUUAUACUUUAUUACCAUACCUUCAUCAAUAUGUUUGUUGUGAAAACGUUCAAUGCCAUACAUGUUUUAGAGUACUUAAUUAUAAAGUUAUAAUUUUUAUAAUGAUGUAGUCAUUAACAUGUUUAUUAUGAUGUAUUUAAUUUUAAUCCUUGAUUCUUGAGUAUUUAAAUUUUAAAACUUGACUUUUAUGAACAAUAUACGUGUUUUGAUGAAAUUGAUGAAAAGUUUAUUUUUCAUUUACCAAUAUGAGGAAAUUGAUUUUUGAAUGCAUUAAUGAAUAGUUUUCUUUGUGGUUGCCUAAGUGGCUAGCGAUUUGUACAUUUUGAACAUCAUUAUCAUUGUCAUGACAUACCAUAUGCAUCUUUGUGGACGCCUUAGUGGCUGGUUAAAUUUUCCCCAUUGGUAUGGGUGACUUCUGUGUGGACGCCUUAGUGGCUGGCUAUAUCCGGAUCAUGUAUGUUUAGGACAUGCAUAAUUUGCAUACAUUUUAUUGCCAUUAAUAUUUUUAUAUAAUUAUUUAUUCUAAGGUGAGUUACUGCUUGUUGUUUAGAUAUAUUUUAUAAUUUUUGAUACACCUUAUGAAUUAUAAAAAUCAUUUUCUCUAAAUCUUUUAUUACAAAAAGAUUUUAUAUUUAUAUUUUAUGGUUGUUAACUUAUUAUUUGGUCUAAUUUUGCCGUGGGAUGAACUGACCCCUUACACCAACAUUUAGGUACUAUCGAUCUCGAAGAGUUGCAUGAAUGACGUUUGUUUGGCGCACGCGCGUGGGAAAAAGGGGUAUUUUAAUAAAACAAUAAUGAUGCUUGUAGUAAUAAGACCGUUGUGAUACAAUUUUUAAUUUUAUUUAUUUUCAUCGUCGAGGGGUCCUUCCGCUAGGAAAAACUGGAAUUAUUCUAUUUUUAAGUGAACAUUUUCUACAAUUAAUAAAUUGUCUUUAUAAGAAUAAUAAUAUCCCAUAAAUUGCAUGGUAUUAUUUCUUAAAAUGAAAUCAAACUACUUACUAGAGAAAUUUUAUUGAUCAUAUGAUGGACUACUUUUUAAAAAAAAAAAUAUUUAAUGUCGUUUUUGAAAGAAAAUAAAUAUUUUUAAGUAAUGUCUUGGAUCAAAAUCCGGGGCGUUACAAUGUGGUAUCAGAGCACUAAUUUUUGGACAUUGGUGGGAUGGGACGCUUCGUGUAUGUCGCAUGUUUUUCUUGUGAUAUGUUAUUCAUGUUAAUCGUAUAAUCUUCUAAUUAUUUGAGUUUUACUAAGUAUUUAAAUUUCUAUUAUGUGUCGUUGAUUAUGUAACCUUCUUGAAAUUGAAUUCUAUUAAUUACUUAAACUUUUAUUAAGUUAUUAAUUGUGUAACCUUCUUGAAUUUGAAUUUUUAAGAAUUAUUUAAAUUCUUAUUAAGUGUCAUUAAAUAUGUUAAUUGCUUGGUUUUCUAAUUAUUAAAUUUUACUUAAAUUUCUAUUAUGUGUCAUCAAUUGUAUAACCUCCAUGAUUUUGCUAUUAAAUAUAUGUUUUAAAUAUUUGNNNNNNNNNNNNNNNNNNNNNNNNNNNNNNNNNNNNNNNNNNNNNNNNNNNNNNNNNNNNNNNNNNNNNNNNNNNNNNNNNNNNNNNNNNNNNNNNNNNNNNNNNNNNUUUAUUAAUUUUAAACUCUCUACUUCUUUUUAUACUAAGGGUUUGAUUUUCUAACUAUUUUAUGUCAUUAAUGACUUAAAUUUCAAUUAUGUGAAUUUAAUUGUCUAAUUUCUUUAAAAUUAUUAUGAUGAAAAAUAUGUUUUAAAUUCUUGAUCCUAUGAUUAGAAAUAAUUUUAAUCAAGCAAUAAACAUUUAUGAUUGUAUGAUAUUGUGAAUUAUGAGUUUAUUACCACGAUUUAAAAUUAUUUCGAUCUAAAUCACAAAGUAACUGGUGAGCUUUCAUCGUGUGAUCUAAAUGUAUGUAAUUAAAGACAAUGUUCUAAACCCUAUAUUAUGUAUAAUUGUAUGAUCCCCAAAAUAGAAGGGAAGGAUAAUACAAAAAGGUUGUAUUGGAGGGAUUCUGGCUAAGGAAAGACUUGGUUAUUAAGUGGUCCAUUGACCCACCUCUCUUUCCUGGUAACCCCUCCAAAGAAAUGCAAGAAAAUGGAGCAGAUGAAACAGAGCCGCCUGAAUAGGGGUGCUAUAGGUGGACCCAUCAGACCUCAGGGGCAUAACGACCAACAGAAUAGGGGCAGGCAUCAUCAAAAACACAAGCCAUAUGCCCGACCACUAGGGAAUGCUAGAGAUCAACCUCGACCUCAAAACAGGGAAGGUCAAGGGCCAAAAGUUCCAGGUCAGAACCAGGCGUACCCUGUUAAGUGUUUUCGCUGCAAUAGAGAAGGACAUAAGAUAUCUGAGUGUCCAAUCAGACCAAGGGUUUGUUACAUUUGUCAGAAACCAGACCAUUUUGCAAAUGAAUGCCCUGAUCGGAAGGACGAUAGAGCUGUCAACCGCAACAAUGUCAACGACAAUGUUGUACGCCCUACUGCCAAGGGACGUGUCUACCACAUCAAUGGAGAGGAAACUCCAUCUUCCUCUGAACUUAUCCAAGGUGAGUGUUUAAUUGCUGGAAAAUCACAUAAUGUAAUUUAUGAUUCGGGGGCAACACACUCAUUCAUUUCAUUGGAUUGGUUGGAUUCGCUCCAACUUACUGUUACUACUUUGCCGUUUGAUUUGGUGGUUACCCUACCUUCUACCGAAUCGGUGAAAUGUAAUACGGCUUGCUUGCAAUGUCCGUUGAUUGUGUUUGAUAUGAGAUUCAAUGUUGAUUUGAUUUAUAUUCCCCUUAAGCAUGUGGGAGUGAUAAAGGUAGAUUAAUGCAAUGUACUAAAAUCAAUGACUAAAAGUUCUUAAACCUCUGAAAUUGGGUAAAUAAUGAUAUUGUUAGAUUGAACGUAUUUGUGUGGGUUAAUUAUGAUAAAAUUUAUUAUCUCUUCUGAAAUUAAAAAAAUCAAUGAGUAAAAAUAAUUAGAAUAAAAAAAUUUAAUAUAGUCUACUUUAUAGAUUAUUAUUAUUAUUUACUCAUGUAAAUAAUAUUAGUUUGUCUCUUUACAAUAUUUCUUUUGUUCUAUGUAUCAUAUGAGAAUGUUCUUUUGUACUAUGAUCCAUAUUUUUUUUUGUUUGAUCAAAACAAUGAUCCUUCUUUCAUUUAUGUGUAAUUGUUAUGUUGGAAUGUCCUUAGCUCCUUAAUCAAUGAGACUUAAUAAAACCGGUGAUCAACACUUUCGUGUUGAAGAUGAUGAACUUAUUUACAAAUGAGUAUGUUUCAAAAACUUAAUUAAGUUUCACAGAAACCUGUGUUAUGAUUAAUACGCAAAGAAGACACAUUAAAUUACUUAAAAAAAUCAUAAUUAAUCAUAUCUUUAUGUAAUUAAAAUUUAUUAGCAUUAACAAUAACAACUAAGGGAGGUGAGAGAGAACCAAACACAAUUUGAUGCUGAAUAACUUUUUUCUUAUUUCUAAAUAACAUUAACAUUGGAAGAGGAUAAAUCUAAAUUUGAUGCGGAAGAAAAGGUUUUCCUUAAGAAAGAAAAACAAAUGGUGGUGCUCCAACGAUUUUGCAAAAAUAUGAAAACACUACGCCAAAAAUGACAUUUAACAGCGCCCAUUUUACAGCGCUUGCUAAACACAAGCGCUGUUGUAAUUAUAUUUUAAAAAUAACGGAACCUAUUACAGCGCUUUUGAUUCAAAGCGCUGUAAAACAAGCGCUGUAGUAGGUCAUAUAACGUUUGCGCAUCACGUUAUAAGGCUUUUACAGCGCUUGUAAAAAAAGCGCUGUAAAAGGAAGCGCUUUCGCGUAUCAGUUACAGCGCUUUUUUCACAAGCGCUGUAAAACACAUGCGCUUUCAUUGAAUUUAACUACCUAUUACAGCGCUUUUUUCACAAGCGCUGUAAAAUACAUGCGCUUUCAUUGAAUUUAACUACAUAACCCUCAUAUCCUCUACAUCUUUCAAAAAAAUACAUCUUUCAAAUAAUUAUAUACGUUGCGAACCCUAAUAUCCUCUACGUACUGUGCGGCCAUCUACGUUGUCUAAGGUAUUUUUUACACAUGAUCUGUUCUGUUUUGAAAUUUUUAGUUGAUAUUGGUUUCUUUUUGAAACUUGUUGAUAUGUUUUGAAAGCUUAUUAUUUUUGUUACUGCAUUUAUAUAGGUGGUAUAAUAUGGAUAGGAAAUGGAUUUCAGCCAAUCGAUUGUCAAAAGAGUAUGAAAUUGGAGUGAAGGAGUUUGUUGAGUUUGCAGUGAAGAAUGCAAAAGAUCCAAAUAGAGUAGUUUGUCCUUGUUUAAAAUGUUGUUUUGGAAAACGUGUUAGAGAAGAUGAAUUAGAAGGACAUCUAGUAUGUAAUGGAAUUGAUCAAAGCUACACAUGUUGGAUAAGACAUGGUGAGAAAAAAAAAGGAAACAUUAAUUUUGAGAAUAGUUCGACAUAUGCUUCAACUGACUUCGAUACAGAUACAUAUGAGCCGGACCGAGUUGAUGAGAUUGCAAAAGCAGUUGAAGAAGAUCUUCGAGAUUGUCCUAAAAUGUUUGAAAGUUUGUUGAGUGAUGCAGAGAAAGAAUUAUAUAAUGGUUGUACUAAAUUCACAAGACUGUCAGCGAUAUUAAAGUUGUACAACUUAAAAGCGAGUAAUGGAUGGUCUGAUAAAAGCUUUACAGAAUUAUUAACACUCAUAAAAGAUAUGUUGCCAGAUGAUAAUGAACUUCCCAGUCGAACCUACGAGGCUAAACGGAUUUUGUGUUCUAUUGGAAUGAGUUACGAAAGGAUUCAUGCGUGUCCUAACGAUUGCAUUUUAUUUCGAAACGAAUAUGAACUACUUAAGGCGUGUCCGAAAUGCAAUGUCUCUCGAUAUAAGAAGAAAGAAUCUACUCCAGCAAAAGUCGUGUGGUAUUUUCCUAUAAUACCAAGAUUUAGGCGCAUGUAUCGCAGUGAAGAAGAUUCAAAACACUUGACAUGGCAUGCAGAUGAAAGAAUUAGAGAUGGAAUGUUUCGACACCCUGCAGAUUCCCCACAAUGGGCAAAAAUUGAUCACGAGUAUCCUGAAUUCGGGAUAGAGUCAAGAAAUCUAAGACUUGCACUUUCUACUGAUGGAAUGAAUCCACAUGGUCUUCAAAGCAUCUCACAUAGCACGUGGCCUGUGAUUUUGGUAAUAUAUAACCUACCUCCAUGGUUAUGUAUGAAGCGUAAGUUUAUGAUGUUGUCUCUGUUAAUUUCUGGACCCAAACAACCGGGGAAUGAUAUCGACGUAUACUUGACUCCUCUAAUCGAAAAUUUAAAAAGUAUGUGGGAGACAGGUGUGGAAGUUUAUGAUGGGUAUAAGAAAGAAUGUUUCAAUUUGAGGGCUAUGUUGUUCGGCACAAUUAAUGAUUUUCCAGCAUAUGGUAAUUUAUCAGGAUAUAGCAUUAAAGGUCAGUGUGCAUGUCCUAUAUGUGAAGAGAGUACAAAUUGGAUGCGGUUGAAACAUUGUAAGAAGAAUGUGUUUCUUGGACAUCGUAGAUUUUUACCUUAUAGUCAUCAGUAUCGUGGGUGGAGAAAUGCAUUCAAUGGAAAAUCAGAGGAAGGUAAAGCUCCUUUAGCACCGACUGGAUAUCAAAUACUUGAAAAAGUACAAGGUUUGACCAAUAAAUUUGGCAAACCUUUUGCGGGAGAGCUGGUGAAAACUGGGUGGAAGAAAAAGUCAAUUUUCUUUGAAUUGCCAUAUUGGAAGUCAUUGUAUGUAAGACAUUUCCUCGAUGUGAUGCAUAUUGAGAAAAAUGUAUUUGAAAGUGUUAUUGGUACGUUACUCAAUGUUCCAGGAAAGUCUAAAGAUGGCGUCAAUGCAAGAUUGGACUUGGUCGAUAUGGGAAUAAGAAAUGAACUGGCUCCAGUAAAGAAAGGAAAUCGCACAUAUCUACCUCCAGCCGCUCAUACUCUAUCUAGAAAGGAAAAAAUUGUUUUAUGUAAAUUUCUACACGAAGUUAAAGUUCCAGAAGGAUACUCUUCGAACAUUAAAAAUUUGGUUUGUAUGAAAGACCUCAAGUUAAAAGGUUUGAAGACCCAUGAUUGUCAUAUUAUAAUGGAGCAUUUGCUACCAAUAGGUAUACGUUCCAUUUUACCUGAAAAAGUUCGACUAGCCUUAACUAGAUUAUGUUUCUUCUUCAGGGAAAUUUGUAGUAAAGUGAUCGACCCUCAGAAAUUACCGACAUUGCAGAGGGAAAUUGUUGUUACUUUGUGUGAGCUUGAAAUGUAUUUCCCACCAUCGUUUUUUGAUAUAAUGGUUCACCUUACUGUUCAUCUGGUUAAGGAGACACAACUUUGUGGGCCAGCUUAUAUGAGAUGGAUGUAUCCGAUAGAACGAUAUAUGAAAAUAUUAAAAGGGUACGUAAAAAGUAGAAGUCGACCAGAAGGUUGUAUUGCUGAACGAUACAUUGUUGAAGAGGCUGCUGAAUUUUGUACUGAAUAUCUGUCCAAUGUUGAAUCCAUAGGGCUUCCCAUGUCUCGUCAUUCGGGAAGACUAUCAGGAGAAGGGAUAACUGGAAGGAGACUACUGACUAUAUCAAGGACAGAAUGGGAGCAGGCACAAUUGUAUGUUCUGCACAAUGAUGAUGAGGUUCAACCGUAUGUUACAAUACACAUUGAUCAGUUAUCUCGUUUGAACAUGAAUAGGAAUCAAAAUUGGAUAACUCGAGAGCACAAUCGAAGUUUUGUAACAUGGUUAAAAAAUCACAUAAUGUCAAAAUUUGAUAUAGACCCCGGAUCAAUUUCAAAUAGAUUGAGGUGGCUAGCAAAUGGUCCGAGCUUACAUGUCUUUUCUUACACUGGUUAUGUUAUUAACGGCUACACAUUUUAUACCAAAGAACAAGAUGAUCAGACCACUAUGCAAAAUAGUGGAGUCACUCUCGUAGCUGAAGCGAUGCAUGUCUCAAGUGCAAAAGACAAAAACCCAAUAUAUGCAAAUCUAUCAUAUUUUGGGGUUAUCGAGCGCAUAUGGGAGUUAGACUACACAAUGUUUCGUGUUCCCAUAUUUGGUUGCAAGUGGGUCGAUAAUAAUAAUGGCGUUCGGAUUGAUGAGUCAGGAUUCUUGCUUGUCGAUUUUAAUAGGGUGGGAUACAAAGACGAGCCUUUUAUUUUAGCGUCGCAAGCUCAACAAGUGUUUUAUGUCACUGAUCCUUCUAAUGAUAAAUGGUCUGUUGUCCUAUCGACCAAUAAAAUAAGUGAUGAUAACAAUAAUGAUGAAGAUGUUGGUAAUGAUCUUUUAUUUGCAACAUCACAACAACCACAUGAAAUUGAUUCAACUGAUGAUGGUUUAUAUCUUAGAGAUGAUCAUGAUGAGGGAAUUUGGAUUAAUCCAUCGUUUCGUAUUGUAAAUGGACAAACAAAUGUGAAUGUCACCAGGAAAAGAAGAAGGGCAUCUUAAUGUAUAUAUAUGUUUAAUUGUUUUAUAUAAGCUAUGCAUGUAAUCUGAACUGUGUUAUUGUAAAUAUGCAUGUAAUCUGAAUUGAGUGUUUUAUACUAAGUUCUGAUUAAUUUAUUUUCUGAUUAAUUUAUUUUCUGCUUAUAUUUAGCUUGAUUUGAGUGUUUUAUACCAAGUUCAUGUAACAAUGAGUGUUUUAUAUUUAGCUUGAUUUACAUGAACUGAACUGAAUAUAAAUUAGUAAUUUACAUGAACUGAACUGAACUGAAUAGAGAGAUUCUCUUUUGCUCAGUGCAUAUAUAUAUAUAGAUUCUUCAGAAUACUCAUUUCUAAUAAUUCAUCAUCUCCUAAAGUAUUGUGAUAAAGACAAUGAUAACAAUAUUUUUAAUCCAAUAAACAAUGAUAAAAAUGUUUUUAAUGUCAUCCCAACCCAAAUAAACCAAACACAAAAAUAAAAUAAAGAGACAUUUUACAGCGCUUAUCUUAAAAAGCGCUGUAAAAGAUCCUUUUAAAAAUAAAAUAAUGAGUGUUUUAUACCUUUUACAGCGCUUUUCACACAAAGCGCUGUAAACGACUCUUUUGAAAGUGAGUAAAAAAGACAUUUUACAGCGCUUAUUUGACAAAGCGCUGUAAAAAAGCUUUAAAAAUAAUAUUCAUCAGACACCUAAUUUCUUCAAACACCUUGUACGCAUCAUGGGAAUCCAAAAAACAUCAGACACAAACCCAUUUCUUCAAACACCUUGUACGCAUCAUGGGAAUCCAAAAAACAUCAGACACAAACCCAUUUCUUCAAACACCUUGUACGCAUCAUGGGAAUCCCCAAAAACACCAGACACAAACCCAUUUUUCGCAACAUGGCAAUGAUCCUGAAUACCAAUUAAGUUUCGAUUUAAGAAGGAAAGAGAAUGUAAAGAGAUAAAAAGGGUGUUGAGGUGGAGAUUGAAUUGUGAAAGAGUAAGCUUUGAUGUUUGUGAAGAAGAUGCAUAAAAGGAGAAGAGUUUGGUGAAGAGGAAGGGAUUUUUGUGGUGACCAGUUACUACUAUGUGGGUUUUGCAUGCAUGUUGAGCUUGUUUAAAAAAUAACAUAACAUAACAAAACACAAAAACAAUAAGGCCUUUUACAGCGCUUAUUUGGAAAAAGCGCUGUAAAAGAGCCUUUUAAAAUUAACAUAAAGAGACAUUUUAGAGCGCUUAUGUGGAAAAGCGCUGUAAAAGGCUUUAAAAAACAUUCAUAUAACAUAAUAACACACGGAGGUCUUUUACAGCGCUUAUUUGGGAAAAGCGCUGUAAAAGAGCCUCUUAAAAUUAACAUAAAGAGACAUUUUAGAGCGCUUAUGUGUAAAAGCGCUGUAAAAGGCAUUCAAAUAACAUAAUAACACACGGAGGUCUUUUACAGCGCUUAUUUGAAAAAAGCGCUGUAAAAGAGCCUUUUAAAAAUUUAACUAAAGAAGCCUUUUAGAGCGCUUAUGUGUGAAAGCGCUGUAAAAGGCAUUCAUAUAACAUAAUAACACACGGAGGUCUUUUACAGCGCUUAUUUGAAAAAAGCGCUGUAAAAGAGCCUUUUAAAAAUUUAACUAAAGAAGCCUUUUAGAGCGCUUAUGUGUGAAAGCGCUGUAAAAGGCAUUCAUAUAACAUAAUAACACACGGAGGUCUUUUACAGCGCUUAUUUGAAAAAAGCGCUGUAAAAGGCAUUCAAAUAACAUAAUAACACACGGAGGUCUUUUACAGCGCUUAUUUGAAAAAAGCGCUGUAAAAGGCAUUCAAAUAACAUAAUAACACACGGAGGUCUUUUACAGCGCUUAUUUGAAAAAAGCGCUGUAAAAGAGCCUUUUAAAAAUUUAACUAAAGAAGCCUUUUAGAGCGCUUUACAAAAUAAGCGCUGUAAAAGGCUUAUAAAAAGCGCUGUAAAAGUGUUACGUAUAUAUAACAGUUACCUCUUCAGUUUCCUCUUCAUUACGUAACCUUCAUCUCAACCUUCAUUUCUUCUCUUCUUUUGCAAACCCUAUCAUCCCGUCCUUUACGAACCUUAUUUCCACGAUCAUCUCCUUCAUUUCGAACCUUAUUUCCAUCCAAGAUCAUCUCUCCCAUUUCACACAAUAUAUUUUCAUUGAAAUACGUAACCCUCAUUACGUAUUUCUUCAAACCGUAUUUCUGUGAACCAUAUUUCUGUGAACUUUCUGCAAACCCUCUUUUCUUUGCAUUUCGUCUUUCUUCGAACCAUCAUUAUUCAGGUAUUGAUGUUAUUAAAUUUUUGUAAUCAUUAGAAUGCAUGUUGAGCUUUUUUAAGAUAUACUGAUACAUGUUGAGUUUGUUUAUAAUAAUGCAUGAUCCAUGUUGAGCUUGUUGAUGUUAUACUAAAGUGCAUGUUGAACUUGUUGUAGUUAAAUGGAUACAAACAAAGAUUUAGAAGUUCAAAAUGAAGAAGUUGGCACCUCUAAGACUUACGAAAAAGAAGUCAAACGUGGUGCAACUAUCAUGCAAAGGGUGAUUAAAGCACGGAGCAGUGGCAUUAAAUUUGAGGUAUACUAUAUAUACUCUGUUUGCUGUGUGUUUUUUUAUCUUUUUUUAGGGUUUAGGGCAUGUACUUACUAUAUGAGUUUAUUAGGUUGGCUGGAACGAGAGUGGUCAGCCAGUUGACCCCAACAGCUCCAUGUUUGUAAGCUACAUUGGGGCUGUUGUUCGUCAAAAUGUCCCAAUAACAAUAGACAACUGGAGAGAUAAGGCGUUGAAGGAUGCCAAAGAUAUCAUCUGGAAUGACAUUCAAGUAAAUAUUUUGAUCUACUCUUUUGUCAUUUAUAAUUUUUUUUCUGUAAAAUACAUUACUUAUAAUUGUUUUCAUUGCAGACCACUUUUGUUCUUGAUGAGGAACGAAAGUCAUAUGUUUUGAGAGUUGCUGGGAAAAUCCAUCGUGGAUUUAGAUCCCAUCUCUCAAAUUUCUAUCUAAAAGAUAGAGAAGGAAACACAAAUGCUGAACCUCCAAAGAUAUAUCAACAUUAUAUAUCAAAGGAUGAAUGGAGUGCAUUUGUUUCCAAACGUUCUGACCCGGCGUUUGUCGUAAGUGAUUAAUUUAUUAGCAUUUGUGUUUUAUUAUUCAUAUUCGUAGCGUAUUUUAAAUUUUUACACAAUUGCUAUUUUUUUUUUAUAUAGAAUAUUAGUAAGGCAAAUCGCGAACGGGCAAGCAACCCAAAACACCCAUACAAGAAAUCACGUAUGGGAUAUGCACGCCUUGAACAAAAAAUUGUAAGUAAUUAAACAUCACUUGUAAUUUGUAUUAUAAACUAUAGUGUGUAACUAAUUUGUAUUAUUUUGUUUAUGAUUUUAACGAAUAGAGAAAAGACACCCAAGCCGAUCAACCCUUGGGUCGUCAUAUCUUAUGGAAGGAAGCGCGUGUUAACAAAGAAGGAGUGGUUGAUAAUGAAAAUGUCAAGAAAGUUGUAGAACUUUGUGUAAGUAUAUUAUCACUUUAAUAUUUUUUAAUAUUGUAUUUUAAAAAUGCUAUUGAACUUAUCUUUUUAAUGUUACAUGUAUUUUAGGAAACUAUUGAACAAAGUUCUGAAACUCAAGAGGGCAACAAGGAUACGUGCAGGGACAUUCUUGGGAAAGUGUUUAAUGUCCCUGAGUAUUCCGGUCGAGUGAGGGGGAAAGGAUUUGGCGUAACUCCCAAAAGCUUUUUUCCUCAAGAGAAGCGCCAAAAACCUUCCAACGAGGAAGUAUUAGAGAAGCUCAGAAUCUUAUCGGAGCAAGUGGCACUCUUGGUGAAUACGAAUAAAGACAAGCAACUUCCGGUUCAGCUCCAACCUGAAAUACAAAUGGAGAGUGAAACCGGGAGUUGCAACGUCGGUUUGAAGAGUAUUCCCGAGGUAAUUAAUUACUUACUACUUACUUGCUUAUGUAAUUACUUAUGUAUUAAACAAACUUAUAUAUUAACUGUACUUAUGUUUUAACUAUUGAUGUAGGGUGUCACUACAUGUGUCCUAUACUUGUCCUCGCCGACUCAACGGAAGGUGGGAAAAGGAAUAUUGCACAAUACUUCGGGAGAAGUAUUGCACAAUAUUCCGAUCCCCGCGGGCCAUGUCAAAGUAUCGCCUACGGUUGCUUUCGAACCAACUGCACCGUUGCCCAUACCGGACAACGAUGGAGAUAUGAAGUUCUUAAGCGACGCUAUUGGCAGUUACGUGGCAUGGCCCACACACCUUGUUGCCCUCGAAAAAAAGAUUCCCAAGGACAAAUCAGUUACAUCUCCCGAAAAGGUUUGUCACAUUUAUUGCCUAAGGUUUUUUAUUUUUUCAGAUUCAAUAAACUAACAUUUUACCUCAUUUUUGUAGGUCCAAAUAAAUAAACCACCCCUACAGCCAAAAAAAGGCAGCAGACCUCAAAAAUUGGAGGUUAAUAGGGCUGCCAAACUACAAAGGCUGGAGGGUAAUAAAGCUGCAAAACUUGCAGCAACAAAAAAUCUGGAUCGGGGAAAAUCGGUCGCUGCUGCUGCUGCUCCUAAUAAAAGUCAGCCACGCCUUGGUAAAUACGGGGCGUGUCUUGACAUCCAAAUAAAAAGGAACAUGGGCAGCAGCAACGAUUCGCCCAUUGUACAAAUGAAUCAAGACAUCUUUGGAGAUGAGUAUAUUGAAUACCUCGAAAAGGAGCAAAUGUACGAUCUUCUCGAACAUAAGGAGCUGAGUGUUACUGUAAUCAGCUUGUACAUAAGGUAAAAAAUACUUUUAAUUGCAUUUAUUUGUAAUUAAUUAAAUGUAUUGGUAAUUAAUCUAGUUUAAAAUUUUCAUUGAAGGUUUUUGUACGAGAAGGUCGUGUGCACGAGGAAACUGUCAAAUAAAUACUCAUUCUUGUCUCCGCAUAAGAUGUCGAUGUUCAAACUCGAUCCAGACAAUGUAAAACACUACAUUGUAGAUAUGUUUUUAAGAAAUAAAGAAAGUGAUAAAUUGUUCUUGGCACCAUAUAAUUCAGGGUACGUAAUUUUAUCUUUUUUAAUUGAUGAGAAUUUAAUUUAUUAGUUGUCUAUAAACAAAAUUGCUUAACCAAUUUUUUGUUGUUGUAGGGCACAUUGGGUGCUAUUUGCAAUCAAUGCGGUCUCUGAAGUGAUAUACUAUUUGGAUCCCGUGCACGGCGAUUACACCAAUCACCCCGGAAUAAAGAAUAUGCUCGACACGUAAGUAAUAUUCAUUUAUUUCUUACAUAUAUAUAUUUAUAUAUAUAUAUAUAUAAAUAUAUAUAUGUAAGAAAUAAAUGAAUAUUACUUACGUGUCGAGCAUAUUCUUUAUUCCGGGGUGAUUGGUGUAAUCGCCGUGCACGGGAUCCAAAUAGUAUAUCACUUCAGAGACCGCAUUGAUUGCAAAUAGCACCCAAUGUGCCCUACAACAACAAAAAAUUGGUUAAGCAAUUUUGUUUAUAGACAACUAAUAAAUUAAAUUCUCAUCAAUUAAAAAAGAUAAAAUUACGUACCCUGAAUUAUAUGGUGCCAAGAACAAUUUAUCACUUUCUUUAUUUCUUAAAAACAUAUCUACAAUGUAGUGUUUUACAUUGUCUGGAUCGAGUUUGAACAUCGACAUCUUAUGCGGAGACAAGAAUGAGUAUUUAUUUGACAGUUUCCUCGUGCACACGACCUUCUCGUACAAAAACCUUCAAUGAAAAUUUUAAACUAGAUUAAUUACCAAUACAUUUAAUUAAUUACAAAUAAAUGCAAUUAAAAGUAUUUUUUACCUUAUGUACAAGCUGAUUACAGUAACACUCAGCUCCUUAUGUUCGAGAAGAUCGUACAUUUGCUCCUUUUCGAGGUACUCAAUAUACUCAUCUCCAAAGAUGUCUUGAUUCAUUUGUACAAUGGGCGAAUCGUUGCUGCUGCCCAUGUUCCUUUUUAUUUGGAUGUCAAGACACGCCCCGUAUUUACCAAGGCGUGGCUGACUUUUAUUAGGAGCAGCAGCAGCAGCGACCGAUUUUCCCCGAUCCAGAUUUUUUGUUGCUGCAAGUUUUGCAGCUUUAUUACCCUCCAGCCUUUGUAGUUUGGCAGCCCUAUUAACCUCCAAUUUUUGAGGUCUGCUGCCUUUUUUUGGCUGUAGGGGUGGUUUAUUUAUUUGGACCUACAAAAAUGAGGUAAAAUGUUAGUUUAUUGAAUCUGAAAAAAUAAAAAACCUUAGGCAAUAAAUGUGACAAACCUUUUCGGGAGAUGUAACUGAUUUGUCCUUGGGAAUCUUUUUUUCGAGGGCAACAAGGUGUGUGGGCCAUGCCACGUAACUGCCAAUAGCGUCGCUUAAGAACUUCAUAUCUCCAUCGUUGUCCGGUAUGGGCAACGGUGCAGUUGGUUCGAAAGCAACCGUAGGCGAUACUUUGACAUGGCCCGCGGGGAUCGGAAUAUUGUGCAAUACUUCUCCCUGUAAUAUGCCCAACCAUAAUUUCAAUUAUGGGUGGGCAUAUUACAGCGCUUUUGUGAGAAAGCGCUGUAAUAUGCCCACCCAUAUAUGAAAUUAUGGUUGGGCAUAUUAGAGCGCUUUUUUGAGAAAGCGCUGUAAAAUGCACACCCAUAACUCAUAUAAUGGGGUGCAUAUUACAGCGCUUUUUGUGAAGAAGCGCUGUAAAAUGUGCAUAACAAGCGCGCGUUGUAUUUACAUGUUUUAUAGCGUUUUUUUAAAAGCACUGUUGUAUCAUUUACAGCGCUCGUUUCCACAACGCUUAUUUUUUUGAAAAAGCGUUGUAAAUGGCUUAAAAAAAGCGCUGUAAUAUGCGUUUUUUCGCGUAGUGAAACAAAGAGGCAUCACAUAAUAGAAGAAGAAUCACAUAAUAGAAGAAGAGGCUGUCUGGAAGGAAAUGGUGGAUGAGAACUACUAUGAUCAAGAAUGUGUAAAAGAAGAGGAGAUAGUAACUAUUUUUUCCACUUUUUUCUUUUAGUUUAAUUUUAAUACGGAGAGGACUUUGUUUUAUUUUUGUGACUCUAUUAAACUAUCCGUGUUUAAUCAUGUAUUGUGAGUCACAAUAGAUAUACUCCAUAAAUCAUCUAUCUACUUUUUGUUAGGAUUUAAUCGUUGGAAUUUGGCGAGACAGUUAAAACUGACGUAAGCGUACAAGUUAUGCAUUAAAUAAUGAAUAUCAUGUUUCGGAUGAAUUCAAGUUCCAAUGGAUUCAAUUUUGACAUCCGUAACCGACUCAUAAAAACUUGAUUUCUUCUGUUUUUUAACUCGAGAUCCAAUUCAAGUUGCCUAUUUUUUCAAUAUUCGGAUCAGAUUAUUCGGAUCACGGGUUUUUGUCCAACCCUAUUUAACACCAACUAAUAGGGUAGUAGUGGUUAUAGAUUUAACUUGCAACUAAUCAUUAUAAAAACUUCAGACUCAAAGUGCAAAUAUGCUGAGUAAGGAUGUCCUACUCUCUAAAACUUUCUCACAUUUAUUCCUCUAAAGAUUUUCCACAUCUUAGAAAAGGCAAUUAUGUCCGUGUUUUUCGUCUAUUUAAAUAAUCUUAAAUAAAUUCUAGUUUUUAAAUAAAUUUAAUUCAUGAUUAAAACAAUUACACACAAAUAUGUUUUUGUGUGAUAUUGCAAUAUUCAAAUCAUUUUAAAUUUAUUUUAAUGUAUGGAUUUAAUUUAUUUAAAAAGUUAUGUCAAAAUUAAAUUUUAAUUUAAAAUAAUUUAUGUAGAUGAUAAUUUAUCAUGUCCAUUGCACAUACUCACACAAUAGUUAUAAGAAAAGAAAGAAUGGGAAUGGAGGAAAAAAAAACAGAAAAUAAAGUGGUUUUUUAGUUAUUGUUUUGAGAUAGAGAAAAUAAAAGGAAAAUGAUUAAAAUAAUUAUAUUUUUUAAUUUGAUUGGAAAAUACAUCAAAAGAAAUAUAUUAUGAUAUAACAUAAUUGUUAAUAUUACAUUUGUUAAUAUUACAUUUGUUAAUAUUAAAUUUGUUAAUUUGUAAAUUAAAGAAGAAACAGAGAAAAUAAAAUGAAUUUUUUUUUAAUUAUCAGUAAUAGAGAAAAUAGAAAAAGGUUAAAUAUUUUCUUUUUAAUUAAUAUUCCUUUUUUUAAAACACAUUAGGGAUUAGUUUUAAUAUCUUCCUACCUUGAACUUAGCACCAUUGACAGUUAUUGUUGGCAUAGAUAUAAAUGUAUAUCUUUUUGUAAGUAAUCUAAGUCAUAUGGUUUUUUUUUUACCUUAGACUGAGGUAUCAUCCUCUCACCUUAAAUUUAUUUUUAAAAAAAAUGAGAGAAAGAAGAGUAUUCUAUUAGGAAUGGAAAAUUUGGGGCAGAGUAAACUAACUUAGGUGGUGGAGUCGAAAAUACCACUUUGUCAAUACUGUCAAAUUUUUAUAUUUUAUUUUUACAUUUUACUAAAAAUAAUGACAACAACAUAGUUAGUUUAUUACGAUUGUUCUCAUGUUUAUGUCAACGACAUUAAAAGAACAUUAAUUUUAAAUUUUUUAGUAACAAAUAUUUGUCUAAUGUAAGCUUUUUAUGAUAAAAAAUAAUAAAUAUAUUUUAAUUAUUCUCUUUUUAUUUAAAAGAUAUUAAAAAAAUAUUAAAGUUAAUUAAUGCAUAAAAAAUAUUUAUAUAUGUAUAAAUUAUAUACGUCAAUUGUUUUUUAUUGACUCACUUUCAGUAAUGAAAAAUAUAUGUAACAAACUAUCAAUACAAAUUAAACUUAUAAUAAGUAAAUUUAUAUUAUGUAAUUUAAAAAAAAUUACAUAUAUAACAAACUAUCAAUAAUUAAAAUUAUCAACAAAAAAUAUAUAAGUAAAUUAUCAAUAAGUUGAUAGCUAUAUUCUAAAGCAAAGCGUUUCAUACACUAGUCUUUUUUUAGUUGGUUAAGUUAAUGGAUCAAUUUUAAUCAUUUAGUUUGAUUGAGUUAAUAAAAAAAUUGGAGAAAAAUCAUUUAAAAUUACAUUUUUUUUAUAUAAAAAAAUAAUAACUUUUUAUUUGGCUCGAUGUGCCAAAUAGCCCCGCUAUAUGACCACUCAUUUUUUUUAGCAGAUUAUAUAGAACAGACCAACUUAAAUAUGUGAGUUGAAAUUUACUUUCAUCCCGACCUACUUAAAAUAGAUCGGUCCUAAAAGUUGACCAAUUUAUCCACCCCUAUAUACUAAUAUAUGAACUGCAUUUCUUGAACUUUAAUAAUUUUACUGGAAUAAAUUAAGAAAAAAAAAGUGAUAUGUAUAUUAUAAUAAACACAAUACAUAUCAUAAUUGUUUAUGUUAUGUAACUCAAUUUGGCAUACUUGAGGAAAAAAAACUAGUCCACCCAAGUUCUUACGCUAUAAAAAUUUAAAUUUAAUUAAAAUAUUUAAUAUCUCAUGUAAUUUUUUUAUUUAAUUUCAAAUGACAAUUCAAUUAUUUUUUUUUUCUUCUUUAAUUUGACUUUUAUUUAAUUUUAAAUAGCAUGAAUAGAUGGUCAGCCCUUAGUUCUAAAAAAUAUCUAUAUUUUGCUGUCAAAUGAAUCCUUUCAUUCCCUUCCAACUGCUUUUUUAAUUGGUUUCUUAGCUCUAAAAAGUAUCUAUAUUUUUUCAUUCCCUUCCACCUACUUUUUUAAAAAAGCAAAAUGUUAAUCCAUCUAUAUCUAUAUUUAAUCUUUCCUUAUCUAUAUUUAUAUUUAAUCUUUCCUAAAAAAUAUUUUAAAAUAUUAAUCCUAAAAAGUAUCUAUAUUUUAAAAAAAAAACAUUUCUUAAAUCUUAAAAUUUUUCAUAUUUUCACAAAUCAAAUGAGACAUAAGUUUUCUAGAAGAUUUUAUUAUAAUUAUAUAAAUGUUAAUCAUUCUACGUCAUCGUAUUAUAUGACACAUGAUUUAAAAUACGUCACAUCAUAAUUUUUUAAUUUAAAAGUCAGAAUAAGACACAAACUGUUAUAUUUUAAAAUAGAGGAUCAAUUUUAUGAGCCGAUAAAAAUAAAGAGACUAAAACUGCAAUUAAGUCUAAAUUUUUUCAUAGACUAAAAUAUGUAUUCACUCUCAAUAUAAUUGUAAUUAUUUUAAUUUAAAAUAUAAAAUAGAGACUCAUUUUAUUGUUUGAGAAAAAUCUUGACAUCCAAUUUAGUAUUUGAAAAAAAUAAAGAUAAUAUUAGCCUCCGAAAAAAUCAAACCGAAACAAUUUAAUUCUACAUUUUUUAUACUUUAUUUGAUCGAAGAAAAAAAGUGAAAAGAAAAAAAAAAUGAAUUAAAAAUAAUUUAACUAUUUAAUAGUUUGAUAUAAUAAAAAAUAAUUAAAAAUAAUGAUAAAAAAUUAUGUUUCUAUAAAAUGACAGAAAUACUUUUAAGGAAAAAAAUUGAUUUGAUUAAAAAGAAAAGAUAAAUAUUAUAAAAGAAAUGAUUUAAGUUAUAUACAACAAUAAAAGUCUUUUAGUCAAUCACAUUCAUUAUAACUUUAUUCAAAAGUUAUGUUAAAAAGAAAAACUAAAUAUACAAAUCGAUCUCUAAAAUUGUAAAAAUCCAUCAAAUAAUCAAUAAAUUUUGUAAAUUAUCAAAUACAUCAUUCAUAGUCAUACUAUAGAAAAUCGAUGAAAAUAGUCUGGUAAAACCUUUAACUUAAAUAUUUUGACAUAAAAUACGUACUUUUUAGUGUAGGACAUAAUUGAAGAAAUGUUAGAUAAAGAAAAAGGAUGGAAGCAGCACGUGAGAAGACGGAAAAGGAAGAACAAAUAAACCAACAAAUCACGACGUUUGGUCUUAAAACGCUAGGAUCAAUACUCUUACUGCAGGCGUAGAAAAUUAAGCUAACCACCGCGUGUGUGUUCCUUAGCUAUAUAAAUCGAUAAUACAACAACAAUACAUUCUUUUUGCUCCUCUCUCAAUUCCCACUUUCACACAACAACCAAAAACCAGAAAUGGAUUUUCACAAGAUUAGCGUUGCUAAUCCCAUCGUCGAAAUGGACGGUAUGUUUUUAUCUAUUUUUAUAUGUUUCGGAGUUGUUGAUUACAAUUUUGAUUUUCAUUCUAGAAUUGAUUUUAACUUCAACCUUUGAUUUGUAAUUUUUGUUCAACUCAUAUGUAUCUUGUGAAAAUUAGUUGAUGUUUACUGUGCCUGGUGGUUAGUAUGUAUAUCUGAACAGAAAUCAUCAUUUCGUUGAUUUUCAAUUUCUUUCUCUGAGUAAUCAAUCUUUGAUUGUUUUCCACAUGCAGGAGAUGAAAUGACAAGAGUAAUUUGGAGAAUGAUAAAAGAUAAGGUAGUUAUGUUAUUUUUUCUUGCACUAUAUUAUUGAAUCAGACAUGCUUAUUGAUAGCAGAAAAGAGGAUUGAGAGAAGAGUGAAAUUGCUAUUUGAUUGAAUGAGUAAAUUUUUAAUUAUAUUAAGCUGGCAUUGACAAACUAGUUAUUACUAAUCUAACUAUCAACAUACUUAUCUCCAACUAACUAUAUCUCUAAUACUUUUUAUUUUAAAUUUUAUUUUUACAUUUUGCAGCUUAUUCUCCCUUUUCUGGAGCUGGAUAUUAAGUAUUUUGACCUUGGCCUUCCUCAUCGAGAUGCCACUGAUGAUAGAGUUACUAUUGAAAGUGCCGAAGCUACACUAAAGUAUGUGCUCUAGUAUUUUCCACAUUCGCUUGUGUCUUCGGUCUUUAGAUUGUGUAUCAUUUUGUCGUUGCCAUAAGUGUCUCAUUCUUCUUGUUUUUCCUUCAGUUUUUUUUUUCUUUCAUUAUUAUUGUUAUGAUCAAGAGUUGCAAUACAGUUAAAUCUUAAGAGGAAAAUCCACGUCUAUCUUGUUUAUUUCUUAAUCCAAAAUUAGCUUGCAGGAUUCAAUGCAUAGUCAGGCUUACCCUUCACAUGUUUAGAUUUCAGCUAAGAUAUUACUACGUUUAUCUUGAAAUGUUUUUUCUUUUAUUCAAAAUUGCCAUGAAAUUCUGAGAAGAGUAUACAUGUAUAGCUUUUGGGGGCAUGUUUUUCAUGUUAUAUAAAUAUACUCCUGGAACAUAAAUGUUGGAAAUGAUUGUUCUUGGGAAUGUCAUACAUACCCAAGAGUAUAUUUAUAUUAAAAUGAAACAAAUGGCAUCUUAAUGGUUUAAAUGUUGUUUUUCAUUCUGCUGUGCAUCUGUUUUCUAGAAGAGGAUAAGCAAACUAGAAUUGUAAUGCCCUCUGAUUAUAGUUAGUGACAAAAUAAUACAAUUUAAAUGGAGUUGAGGAGUAAAUAUUAAAUAAUAAGUAUGCUCUAUACUGUACAUACAUUGCUGUAGAGUACUGUUAGAAGAUCAAUAUUAGAAAGAAAAAAAGAAUGCAAAAUAAGAUAUAUUUAUAUAUUUGGUUUUGGUUGAAAUAUCAACUACUUAAAUAGACUGAAUUUAUUUUUGUUAUGGCUGUUAUAAUUUUUCAAGUUCUGUUGAGCUGCAAAGGUUUUGGUCCAUGUCUCCCCUUGUCUUUCAUUUGAAUUCUUUCUUCCUUUCUUUUUUAACAAUAAUCUUUGGUAUGCUGCAAAUGAUUAGUGCUAGCUGAGGUGCUAGCCUAGUUGAGAUUUCAAUUAUCAUAUUUAUGCCUCUGCUUACCAUUCUCAGGGAUAAAUAAAAGUUCUGUGGAUUAAAGAAGCUUUCAAUGUUUUUCAUUUCUGUAUUAAUUAUUAAGCUAUAUUUUCUUACGCGAGGCCUCCUAAUAUCACUACGUGGUUUAUUUUCCUUUCAUUGUAGGUAUAAUGUAGCUAUCAAAUGUGCAACUAUUACUCCAGGUAUUCAUAAUUGUUCUAAUCUGGAAAUUGGAAUGAUUUCCAUGUCAUCUUAACUUAAUUUCGAGUACGGUGUACCAUUUUGCCCAUGUGUUAAUUGAAAUUCACAUAUGGGGUUUUCUUUUUCAUAGAUGAAGGCCGUGUCAAGGAAUUUAACCUAAAACAAAUGUGGAAGAGCCCAAAUGGAACAAUCCGGAAUAUUUUAAAUGGUAAAUUAAUCUUCUGAUGCUUUUCGCAAUCCUGUUUUAUGUUCUGAGUUUUCAACUGACAUCGAUGGAAACAAUCACUCUAUAUCCUUACAGGUACAGUUUUUAGAGAGCCAAUUAUCUGUAGAAACAUUCCUCGACUUGUUUCAGGUUCGUAAUUUUUUUAACUUAUUUGAUAUCUUAAUUUUGCUUUAUGAUAGCAAGUGUUAAUUACUGGCUAUUGGUUAGGUUGGACGAAGCCAAUCUGCAUCGGAAGACAUGCUUUUGGCGACCAAUAUCGGGCAACUGACGCAGUUAUAAAAGGCCCAGGAAAGCUAAAAUUGGUGUUCGGUAAAGUCAAAAUCCAAUCAGCUGUUUCUCAUGAUUCAAGUACUUGGCAUAUACAAUCUUGAUGCAGUUGCAAGAUUGCUCAACUAAAGCCGAUAUCAAUUUCUAAAAGACUAAAAAGUUUGAGGUCUAUAAAUUUGAAGUAUCUUACAAAAUUUAGUUGCGUUAUACAGCACCAGAUGGGCAUGAAGAAACUAAAGAGCUAGAGGUGUAUAACUUCACUGGUGCUGGAGGUGUAGCUUUGUCCAUGUAUAAUACUGACGAGGUUUGCAUCUAAUCAAUCCUUUUUAUUAAUAUUUUCUCUUUGAAAAUUAUUUUAACUGAACUUGCAAUAAUAAAUUAUGUGAUAUUUGGUCUUGAAACAGUCCAUUCGAGCUUUUGCUGAAGCUUCGAUGAACAUUGCUCACGAGAAAAGAUGGCCUCUCUAUCUUAGCACUAAAAAUACCAUUCUAAAGAAAUAUGAUGGAAGGUAUGCUUGUCUAUUUUCUGUUCAUUCUUCUUUAUAUUUCACGACUCUUCAAUUCUAAAUGAGAUACAAUGAUAUAUUGUAGUUAUAAGACCCAAGCACAUUUCUAACUCUUUGCUUUUGUGAAGAUUCAAGGAUAUAUUCCAGGAAGUUUAUGACACGCAGUGGAGUCACAAGUUUAAAGCUGCAGGAAUAUGGUUAGAAGAAUUGCUUGUCAUGCUAGUAAAUUUUUUUUUUCAUAAGUAGAUUGGUAAUUCACACUCUUGAUUCUUAGGUAUGAACACCGUCUUAUAGAUGAUAUGGUUGCGUAUGCUCUUAAAAGUGAUGGAGGUUACGUAUGGGCCUGCAAGAAUUAUGAUGGGGAUGUGCAGAGUGAUUUCAUAGCUCAAGGUAGAUAUCUGUAUGCUCUUAUCUCAUUCACUUAUCUGUUUAGUUCUGGUGUUUCUUGUUUUCAUUCCACUGGUAAAAUAAAUAAUAAAGAAGACACUAUGGAUGUUUUUGGAAAUGCAUAUUAAAUAUUUUAAAAAUUCUGGAAAUUUUCAAUAUAUUAUUUUUAGUGUUCUUGAAAAUAAAAAAAUCCAUAAGCAAAUGUCAUUCCAACCACCACAUACAAAGUGGAAUUGAAAAUGUUGUUAGAAUAGGGCCAAGGGUUAGCGUGUCAUAUUUCUUAAUAUGAUCUGAAAAAUAGUUUCCAUUGAACAGGGUUUGGUUCUCUUGGCUUGAUGACAUCAAUACUGGUAUUGCUUUUCUAACCCUUUGCAUCAUUUUGCUUUUUCUUUCAUACGUAUCCUUUAUUUUGUUUAUGUCUGUCCUUUUGUCGGUUACAUCUCUAGCAUGGAUGUUCAAGUAGCUAAAAUUUGCAACAGGUUUGCCCGGAUGGGAAAACCAUUGAAGCAGAGGCAGCCCAUGGCACUGUUACCCGUCAUUUUCGGGUCCAUCAGAAGGGAGGUGAAACCAGUACAAACAGUAUUGCUUCAAUUUUCGCCUGGUCACAAGGUCUUGCACAUAGGUAAGUGAAGAAAGUAAAAGACAAAAUACUUUCAUGUUUUAUUAUUACAGCCCUAAGCUGUUUAUAUAGGAAAAGAAAUUACAAUAGUAAAACUGAGUAAUAAUGACAGAAUAAAAAUAAACAUAAUAAUAUAAAAUAAAAGAGAAUAAAAUCUAAUUUAUCUCGAUUCUUCAACACCCCCCUCAAGUUGGUGCAUAGAUAUCUGUCAUGCCCAACUUGGCUAUAAGUCGCUCAAAAUUGGGUCUUGCCAAACUUUUUGUCAAGAUAUCAACGGUUUGCUGAUUGGAAGUCACAAAUGGCAGACAUAUAACUCCAGCAUCAAUUUUUUCUUUUAUGAAAUGGCGGUCAAUCUCAUUAUGCUUGGUUCUAUCAUGUUGUACAGGGUUGUGAGCUAUACUUAUUGCUGCUUUGCUAUCACAGAACAAUUUUAAGGGUGAGUCAACUUUCAUUUUCAGUUCGUCUAAGAGUUUACGAAUCCAUAAAAGUUCACAGAUUCCUUGAGCCAUUGCUCUGAAUUCAGCUUCUGCACUGCUUCGAGCAACAACCCCUUGUUUCUUACUUCUCCAAGUAACUAAAUUUCUCCCAACAUAGGCACAAUAUCCAGUGGUGGAUUUUCUAUCAGUAAUUGAUCCUGCCCAAUCAGCAUCUGUAAAUAUAGAGACUUCUCUGUCAUUAGUUUUCUUGAAGCACAAACCCUUUCCAGGAUUGGAUUUCAAGUACCUUAAGAUUCGAUAAACUGCCUCCAAGUGUUCUUCAUAGGGAGAAUGCAUGAAUUGACUUACAACACUCACAGAGAAAGCGAUGUCAGGUCUAGUGUGGGCUAGAUAAAUAAGUUUGCCGACUAACCUCUGGUAUCUUCCAAUCUCAACAGGAACACUGCCUUUCUCCCAAAGUUUAGCAUUUAAUUCCAUAGGAGUAUCUGCUGGUCUACACCCAUUCAUCCCAGUUUCUUCCAAGAGAUCUAGGAUGUAUUUUCUUUGAGAAACAACAAUUCCCUUCUUUGAGCGAGCAACUUCCAUACCAAGAAAAUAUUUAAGCGCGCCUAAAUCUUUGAUCUCAAGAAGAUGCCUAUUCUUUCUCUCUGCAAUUCCAUUUCGUUGGGGUGUAUUAACACAAGAACUUUGAUGAACAACCCCAUUUGCAAGAAAAAAAUCGGACAAAAGUAUAUUAAAAUAUUCUUUACCAUUGUCACUUCUGAAGACUUGAAUAUUUGUUUGGUAUUGAGUGCGCACCAUUUUAAAGAAAUUUUUGACAACUUGUCCAACUUCCGAUUUUUCUUUCAAUAAAUAAACCCAACAAAUUCUAGUAUGAUCAUCAAUAAAAGUUAUAAACCAUUUUUUAUUAGAAAAUGUGUUUAUUCUAUUAGGACCCCAAACAUCACUAUGAAUAACUGCAAACGGUUUUGAUUGUUUAUAUGGUUGUGUAGAAAAAGAAGAACGGUGAUGUUUAGCAAAUUCACAAGUUUCACAAUGAAAUAAAGAUGGAUCCUUCUUAGAAAAUAAUUUAGGAAACAAAUGUUUCAAAUACGGAAAACUAGGAUGUCCUAACCGUAAAUGCCAUAACAUAAUAUCAUUAUUAUUAGAAGAAACAAAAAUAGAUUCAAAGCAGGUACUUGUUUUUUGUUGGUCUUUGAAGUCGAGUCCAUUGUCAAGAUAAUAGAGUCCUCCAUUCUCCGUAGCAUUGCCAAUCAUCUUCCCCGUGCUCAAAUCCUUAAAAGUGCAAUGAGAAUGAAGGAAGUUAGCUUGACAAUUUAUAUCCUUUGUUAAUUUAGUAAUGGAUAAUAGAUUACAUGAUAAAUUAGGAACAUGUAAGACAUCUUUUAAGGUUAACUUAGGUGACAGAAUAACAGAACCUUUCUCUGCAAUGGCUGAAAGAGAGCCAUCUGCAAUUUUAAUUGUGGUUACCUGCACAAGGGCUAUAAGUAGAAAAUAGACUCGACUCCCCAGUCAUAUGAUCAGUAGCACCAGAAUCAAUAAUCCAAGUAUGGCUGGGAGUGACACUAAGUAGAGCAGUAUUUGGAAAAUUACCUCUCUGAGCUAUAGAGCAAGAAGAAGUUUGAGACUCAAAAAGUUUGUACAAUUGAUCUAACUGUUCCUUGGUGAAAGGAGAUGGGCUUGAAGGAGACUGCUUCUCUUGAUCAGAUGUACCAGCUUGGAGCGCAUGACCUUCCUUUCUUUCUUUUUUCUUCCAAUUUAGAGGUUUUCCAUGGAGCUUCCAACAUGUAUCACGUGUGUGCCAUAGACGUUUGCAAGGUUCGCACCAUGGUUUCUUGCCAGCGCUCUUCCCGUCUUCAUUUUUUUGUGACUAGGGCAAAGCUUUCAACCUCACCAACAGAAGGCGACUUACCCAUCAUAACACCUUGUCUUGCCUCUUCUCUUCUAACUUCUGAGAAUGCUUCCCGAAGUGAUGGCAAUGGGAUCUUUCCCAAUAUUCUGCCUCGAACUUCAUCAAGCCGCUUAUUAAGCCCAACCAAGAACAUGAAUACACGGUCCUCACAACACAUUCAAUGAUCAUCAUAGCAGAGAUCCAAUUCUUGCCAUAGUGUCAUCAACUCAUUGUAAUAGGUAGUGACAUCUCUAUCUCCUUGUCUGGUAUGCUACAAUCGUGAUUUGAGAUCGAAAAUUUGAGAAGAAUUCUGAAUAUCAGAAUAUGUUUCUUUGACAGCCUCCCAAACUUCCUUGGCAGUAGGCAAAAACAUAAAAGGUUUUUUUGAUUGUUGAUUCCAUAUUACUAAGCAACCAAGCAAUAAUAACAGAGUUCUCAGAUUUCCAAAACCUGUAUUUUGGAUCAGUUGUGGCAGACAUUUGCACCUCUCCUGUUAGGAAACCAUAUAUUCCCUUACCGUCUAAAAUCAAUCUUGCGGUUUGGGACCAUUCGACAUAAUUUUUUCCAUUUAGUUUCUGGAUUUCAACCUUGAGGACAUUAGAAGUUCCCUCAUGGCCAAAAAAGUUGGAAGAACCAUUCUGGCUGCUUAGGCCGCUGCGACUGCCACUUAUGGUGCUGUCUAAAUUGUCAGGGUUGUUGACUAUGUCUGAUUUUUUUGCCAAACCAUCGUCGUUGUCGCCGCUACCCAUAAGGGCUACCUUCCAUGGGGUAUUGUGUGCCAUUAGCUUUAGUUCAGUUGGUUAGAGCGCCAAACCCUAAUGGUUGUGGUAGCUCAGUUGGUUAGAGCGCCAAACCCUAAUGGUUGUGGAAAGGUUUACAGAACCCUAACCAGAGCUCUGAUACCAUGAAGAAAGUAAAAGACAAAAUGCUUUCAUGUUUUAUUAUUACAUCCCUAAGCUGUUUAUAUAGGAAAAGAAAUUACAAUAGUAAAACUGAGUAAUAAUGACAGAAUAAAAAUAAACAUAAUAAUAUAAAAUAAAAGAGAAUAAAAUCUAAUUUAUCUCGAUUCUUCAACAGUAAGCAUUGAAAUUAAAACUCAUACAAAUUUUUUUCCUCAUACUGCAAUCCAUAGAAUUCGAUUUUUUUUUUCCAUUGUAGUUUUAGCUAAUAAUAAUACAUAUGGUCGGUUGAGUAGUUUAAGUGGCUGAUUAUUUGUGUUUUUUUUUUUAAGAAAGAAGUGUAUUUUUUAUUAAGUUUUUUUUUUACUAUUUUAGAUAAAUAUUUUUGAUGAAAAGAAAAAAGCUUAUAAGAUAUUUUGUUGUUCUUCACUUCCCAAAAUAUAAUGGAAGUAGCUUCAUGAAAAUAGCUAUAAAUGAAGGACCCAUUUGUUUGGGCUUUUAAGAAAAAAAUUAACAGAAAGGUCUAAUUUUAUAUCAGAAUUAGAAAGUUUUUUUGAAAAAAGCAAAUGCGUAAAAGAUUUUCCUCAUAAGUUAUAGUUUGUUUUGUGUGUAUAAACUUUGCAAAAAAGUUCCGAUAUCAUUUUCUUUAAAACUUUCCUAUAAUAAGGCAUUUCUUAUAGGAUAGAUAUGCUUGGUUUGAGAAUUUUUUGCUAAUAAAAAGCGUCACUUUUAUAUUAUAUUUUGUUUUUGGUAAUAAAAAGUGUUACUAUACUUCUUGGAGAGACAAGAGUGGAAAUAAAUAGGAGGUUAGAGACUUGAUAACAAGCUUUAGAAGUUUAUGAUUUUCAUUUGAGUAUAAGUAACAGAGUUAUAUAUAGAAUGUAAAUUUUGGAAAAGACAAAGCACACAUAGUUUAGAGGUGAUAGUUGGAAACCCUAACAUACAACAAGUCACAAUUAAAUAUCUUUGGCCCAAGUAGGGUGGAUGAAAUUGAGGAGAGUCUUAGGUGUUUUAAGUGAUAAAAUAGUGCCACUGAAGAUAAAGGGAAAGUUUUAUCCCACAUUUGUAAAACCAACGACGUUACAUGAUACAAAAUGUUGGGGUGGUAAAAUGCCAACAUGAGAGUAAACUCGGUGUAUAGAGAUGAGAAUGCUAUGAUUGAUGUAUGCUAAUACUAGAUGAGAUAAGAUUAGGAGUGAUAGCAUCGGAGAGAAAGAAAGUUAGGGUGACACAUUGUAGAAAAAAUGAAGGAAUAUUGACUUAGGUGGUUUGAGAAUGUGUAAAGGAGACUGUAGAUUCUGUAGUAAGAAGAGUAGAUCAAACAGAGGGUAGCCCAAUUGUUCAAAGUAGAGGAAGACUAGGAAAAACUAUACGAGAAACUGUUGAGAAAGACCUAGAAGUCAAAGAUUUUGAUGAAGAUAUGAUAUAGCAUUAUAUCGUCCUUUGAUCCAUGUAGUCAACUCUACUUAGUGGGAUAAGAUCAAGUUUGGUGGUGGUGGUUCUAUAUUUAUGCAUAAAACAAACUAAAAGCAGAGUUGUACUUUUUGUAAAUAUUAAUGAAAACAAAGAUGUAGACAAUAUGAUAAAAAUAAAAGUGUGUUUUAUUUUAAAGCUUUUUAAAACACCCUAUUUUUUGCAGGGCAAAGUUGGAUGGAAAUGCUAGACUGUUGGACUUCACGGAGAAACUAGAAGCAUCUUGCAUUGGAACAGUAGAAUUGGGAAAAAUGACAAAGGAUCUUGCACUUCUUAUUCACGGACCCAAGUAACUUUUGGCCCUAGGAUAGUUCUUUAAGAAUGCUAACUAUUCCUUUUGCUAUUUAUGUAUAACAAAUUAAAACUACUUGCUCUUUUGUUUUGUUGUAGGGUUUCUAGGUCUCAUUAUUUAAAUACUGAAGAGUUCAUUGAUGCUGUUGCCGAGGAGCUGAGAACAAGAUUAACUACAAAAGCAAAGCUGUAAAGUUCACCAGUUUCUUUGAGUCUACUUAAUGAUAUUAGAUUGGACUAUUACUUGGGUUAUAAGCAUUUAUUGUGCUGAGUUUUGAAUUUGGAGUAUGUUCGUUUGAAUAAAAAAUGGAAGUUGAGUGGAGAGAAUUUAGGCAGAAUAAAGCCAACUAGUCAAGGGACUUCCUAGGGGCCCAACUCUACCCAACUCUGCAUUUCUAAAUACCAGACGACUCCAAAAAUAUACUUUUGGAUGAAAAAAUAACUAACUGUUUUUGUCCCGUUGUAUACUCUUGGAUGACAUAAAAACUAAAUUUUUUUGAAUGUGUUUUUCUGAAGUGACUUUAGGGGGUGGGGAAAGUUGGGGCCCUUCCUAAAUUGGACUGUUGCACCCGCUACAGAUAGGAAAGAUUGGUAUUCACAAAAAGUUCAUUGGCUUGGUAGAACAUCAACUGAUUUUGAAUUUUCCAAGCCAUAAAAGGGACUAUUAGUGUAACAUCCUCCUCAAGUUGAGAAGCUACAUAUUCUCUAUCUUAUAUUCUCUUGUCAUAGAUAUUGUCAUAUUGAAAUAUUUUUGGUGAAAAUGAUUACAGAAGCAAAGCAUAAUAUGAAUUUUUGUCCUUUUCUGUAGAAUAUGAAAAUUGGUAGUAGAAUAUGAAAAUUGGUAUAUUUCCGAAGUUGUAUUAGUAGAGAUCUAGAGGAAGAACAUAAACAAGGAAUAAAAUAGGGGGAAAAUUUAGGGUAUCAUUCUUACCUUUUCAUCUUGUGCUUUCAUAGAGGGUUUGAGUCUAGGAUUUUUUAUUAAGGGUAUUACGAAAUUUUAAGGAAUUUUUCUCAUUGAAUAGUUUUAUUGAUGUGUUUUCUUAAGCUGAAGGCGGAACCUUGUGUGUUUAUACCUGUUAGUGACAUGCAUGUUCUUGUUGUGGAAUAAUGUUUAUACCUGUUAGUUACAUGCAUGUUCUUCUUGUGGUUAAGGAAAGUGUGCUCUUGAAUGUGAAUAUUUUGGAUUAGUGGCAAUUCUCGUCUUAUGAUGGGAAAUCGAGUAAUUUUUGGAGUACAUUUUAUACCUAUAAUCAAUUUCAUAAAUAUUGAAUAGUUGGAGUGAAUUAAAGAAUUAAUAAAGAAAAAGUAUUAAAUUCUUCCACAACAUGAUAGGAUAAAAAAGUCAUUAUUCUUGUCUCAGAUAAAAUUAUAAUGCUGAAACAAUAAUAGGUAAUGAUAAUAUUUUUUGCAUGGUCAAAUUCAAAAAAUAUUAUUAUUUGACAUUUGAAACGUGAUUCGUGUGGAUGAUAGGAUGGGUUAAUCUAGGUCUAGGAAGUCUCUUUGGAGAUGAACUUUUCCUUCACAAAAUAUAUAUAUGAAAUUCCAAAAGCUUCUUUCAAACAUGGAGCAUUGGAUUUUGAGACCGAAUGGCAGUACUCAGAUUGUCUCGUAGGAGAGUAGUGACACUCUAAGAGACUACUAGUUUUGUGAGCAAGGACUGUAUCCGUAUUACUCCAGCUUUGGUACUGGUCAUGCUGCAAUACUCCAGCCUUUGUGCUGGAACGAGCAACCAACGAUUAAUUCUUGGUGCACCAUUAAAUCAAAUUAGGCCAAGGAAGAUGCACAAGUCUGAAGUUGAUCUCUUGUCAUCAGGGUUUGACGGUUUGUGUCACAAUAGGCACUUGUGGAGAAUGGAGAGUUAGGUUGUCCUAGUUGAAAGAAUAAUCCAUGCUUAAUUGAUCCUUUAUGGUAGAUAAAGCCACAUUGGAUUUGAUGAGAUAUGACAUAAGAUGGAUAUGAGUCAAUUUAAGAUAUAUUGGACUACUUGAUAUAAUCCACCCGAGUUACGUUUCAGAUGUCAAGUGAUGAACAUGACAGAAGUGAGUUGAGAGUGCCAAAUUACAUGAAAUAUGUCAACAUAAGCAAGUGUUUAUAUUCGAAAGACACCACUCACCUUGCAAUUAGAUUUAGUGGAAUUGAGUUUCAUCCAACCAAAAUUUUAAAACCUAUUUUUUCACAACUUCUUCUCUUAGGAGCUAUCACGAGUCUGCACUUUGUUCCAAGCCUCUAAAAUUCUGGUAACAUUAUUUUUCUACUUUCUAGUAUAACAAAGUCAAACAUGGUGUUAUUGAUAAUAUGGUUGGGGUGUCAUGGCUAUUCUAUGUGAAAUUCAAUAUAGUCCCUUCAAGAAUCCACAACUAGGUUCUUAGAUUUGAAAAAUCAAAACACAUCACAUUAAUUUCUUUGUCAGAGACUAUUUUUAGUGUUUAAAAUUUUGUUACAGACUAAUAUCUCCUGAGUGGGUAAUUUUGAGAUACUAUUUUUGAAUUUUUUUAUAAGGAUUAAAUUAACAUUUAAUAUUUUUUUCUUAAGAACUAAAAUGAGUAUUCUGUCUUUUUGAAAGUCAAAUUUAAAAAUUAAUUUAUAAUUAAUUUUGUCUCUUUUUUGUACUACCUCUUUUUGUUAAUGUCCUACCGAGAACCAAAUCUAAUUCCGGUAAAAUUAGAGACUAAAAUUGGCUGGCAAAAUAACCGGAAAUAAUAUGAAAAAACCGGUGAAUAAAUGCUAAAACUGGUUGGAAAACUGCGAAAGUGUGAUUUUUGUUGUCAACUUUUCUAUUUUAAUACUAUAUUGCUAUUCAGUUUUUAUUUUUUAUUUUUUAUUUUAUUUUCGUUUGGGUGAGUAACAAUCAUGUCAAUUUUGAUUAAUUUGUUUAAAGACUAUAGUUCUACUUUUUCCAUAUCAACUUUUUAUUUUUCAAUUUUUUUUUAUCAUUGCAUCAAUGGAUUUAAACCAUAACUAGAUUAUGGUCCGCGCGCUGCACGGAUAUUAAUUAAUUAAUUUUAUAAAUAAUAUUUGAUGUAUUAUAAAUAUAGUUAUCUUAUAAUAUUACUUUAUUGAUUUGUAAUAAUUGAAUAUGAUUAAGAAAAUUAAAAUGAGGGAAAAUCAUGUUUAUCACACUCAUCUAAUUUAAUUUUUAAAAUAUUUUGUAAAAUUCGUAUGAUAACUUAUUAUAUAGAAUAAUUAUUUGACUCAUUGUACUUUGAUUGUUAAUUUAUUUUUCAACAUAUAAUGGUAUUUGUAUUUAUUUGACGAAAUAAAAUAUAGAAUACAAACCCAAAAAUAAGAUGUAAAAAUUUAUAAAUAUGAUUUACUAUUUAAUAUUUUUUAUUUUAAAAAAAAUGUUAAUGUUGAAUUAUAUUGUAGCGUAGUCUAAAUUUAUUUGUUUUAUUAUUAUAUUAUUUUAGUUGCGAGCAUGAGAAGUUGUUGUAAAAAAAAAUUAUUGAAUAUAUUUCAUCAANNNNNNNNNNNNNNNNNNNNNNNNNNNNNNNNNNNNNNNNNNNNNNNNNNNNNNNNNNNNNNNNNNNNNNNNNNNNNNNNNNNNNNNNNNNUUUUUAAUAAAUUUAUGUAUUUUCUGUCAAAAAGAAUAUAUAUUUUUAUUUUAUAAAGUGUUACUAAAAAAUGGAUUGACAUUAAUGAGUAAUUUAAUUUUUAACGUAUAAAAUCAUUACUCACCAUAAGUGAAAUAAUAUAAUUGUUCAUAAAGGAAGAUUAAAUAAAGAACAUUUAUAUCGAUAUUUAUGAGUGAUUAGGUGGUUUUUUAUUUAUUUAAUUUAAUGACUAAUAAUAUAAAUUAUUACCAUUGGUAAAUGACUAAUAAUACUAUAAAAUAAUAUUAUAAAAUAGUUUAUAAAUUUAUUAUAAAAUAACUUAUAAAAUAAUUUGAUAAUAAUAUAAAUUAUAAAUUAAAUUAUUAUCAAAUUGUCAAAUAAUUUAUAAAUUAUAAAUUUAUUAUAAAUAAUUGUAAAAUAAUUUUAUAAGUAAUAUUUUAUGUAUUAUAAAUAUAGUUAACUUAUAAUAUUACUUUAUUAAUUUGUAAUAAUUGAAUAUGAUUAGAAAAAUUAAAAUGAGGGAAAAUCAUGUUUAUCACAUUCAUCUAAUUUAAUUUUUAAAAUAUUUUGUAAAAUUCGUAUGAUAACGUAUUAUAUAGGAUAGUUGUUUGACUCAUUGUACUUUGAUUAACAAUUUGUUUUUCUAACAUAUAAUGGUACUUGUAUUUAUUUGAUGAAAUAAAAUGUAAAAUACAUACCAAAAAAUAAGAUAUAAAAAUUUAAAAAUAUGAUUGACUAUUUAAUAUUUUUUAUUUUAAAAAAAUGUUAAUGUACUAAUAAUAUAAAUUAUUACCAUUGGUAAAUGACUAAUAAUAUUAUAAAAUAAUUUAUAAAUUUAUUAUAAAAUAACUUAUAAAAUAAUUUGAUAAUAAUAUAAAUUAUAAAUUAUUAUCAAAUUGUAAAAUAAUUUAUAAAUUAUAAAUUUAUUAUAAAUAAUUUUAAAAUAAUUUUAUAAUUUAUAAAUUUAUUAUAAAUUAUUACCAUUGGUAAAUGACUAAUAAUAUUAUAAAAUAAUUUAUAAAUUUAUUAUAAAAUAACUUAUAAAAUAAUUUGAUAAUAAUAUAAAUUAUAAAUUAUUAUCAAAUUGUAAAAUAAUUUAUAAAUUAUAAAUUUAUUAUAAAUAAUUGUAAAAUAAUUUUAUAAUUUAUAAAUUUAUUAUAAAUUAUUACCAUUGGUAAAUGACUAAUAAUAUUAUAAAAUAAUUUAUAAAUUUAUUAUAAAAUAACUUAUAAAAUAAUUUGAUAAUAAUAUAAAUUAUAAAUUAUUAUCAAAUUGUAAAGUAAUUUAUAAAUUAUAAAUUUAUUAUAAAUAAUUGUAAAAUAAUUUUAUAAUUUAUAAAUUUAUUAUAAAUUAUUACCAUUGGUAAAUGACUAAUAAUAUUAUAAAAUAAUUUAUAAAUUUAUUAUAAAAUAACUUAUAAAAUAAUUUGAUAAUAAUAUAAAUUAUAAAUUAUUAUCAAAUUGUAAAGUAAUUUAUAAAUUAUAAAUUUAUUAUAAAUAAUUGUAAAAUAAUUUUAUAAUUUAUAAAUUUAUUAUAAAUUAUUACCAUUGGUAAAUGACUAAUAAUAUUAUAAAAUAAUUUAUAAAUUUAUUAUAAAAUAACAUAUAAAAUAAUUUGAUAAUAAUAUAAAUUAUAAAUUAUUAUCAAAUUGUAAAAUAAUUUAUAAAUUAUAAAUUUAUUAUAAAUAAUUGUAAAAUAAUUUUAUAAUUUAUAAAUUUAUGAAAUAAUAUUAUUAUUGAGAGGAGGAUUGAAGGAGAUUAGACAUUGAGAACAUGAUUGAGAGGGGAGAAAGGAGAAGAGGUCCACAUCAGCUAAAAGCUGAUGUGAGAAAUAUUUGUAUAGGUGGAUGAAAUAAAAUGAAGUGGGUGAGGUGACAUUCGGGGUCUGUUUUAAAUAUAUAUAAUAGAUAAGUAUAUCUAUAACAUUUAACAAAAAAGAGAGACAAAAUCAAACAUUAAAUAUUGCAACAAGAAAAUAUUAAUAUUUCACUCAUAAAGAUGUAUUAUAUUUAAAUAAAAAUGUAUAUUUACACUAUUUAAAAAUAUUAAAAUUACAUAUUUGAGUAUAAAAUUUAUGUUAAAUACUACCGGUCGCACCAUGGUUCAACUCCGGUCGAAUUUUUAAACCUUGAAUCUCUUCAUAUAUUAGUCAAUGUCCGAAUCAAUUUUGAUUACCUUGGUCCUAUUUGAGUACUAUGCCCAUUUGACAUGUUGCAGUGUGGUCUUUAUGGUUUGAUAAGGAAUGAGAUUGUUUUCAAGAAUAGAAAGUUAAUAUUGAGUACUAUGCCCAUUACCAAUAUUGUUUAUUAAAUAUUAGGGAAGAAAAAAUUAUUAUUAAUAAUGGUAAUAUUAAUGAUCAAUCUUACAACUGUCUCAUAUGAGAUUUGAAUUUUGACAUUUGAAAUUACAAUUACUAUGGGAAACUCUUACACUGAGGUGACACCUAAAGGACAAAUGAGAUUGUUGUACUGAUUUUCUUCAUAUGCCACAUGAUCUUCAUUAACUUUUUCAUCCUUGUGUAAUAGCUCAUUUCUCUGUAUUUCUGUUGGUUGAUUAAAAUUUGAAUUUUUUCUUGUGAAAGAGUAAAGAGUAUUGCUUAUACUCAUAAAAUAACAUUCAUUUUGUGUGUCAAAAGUAUAUAACAAAUAUUCAGAAAAAAAAAAAGAUACUGCUUAGAACAAUAUUAAAGACACUGAAAACAUACUUUAGAAGGAAAAUAAUUUUUUGAAUGAAUUUACAUGUAUGUGUUAACAAUGAUCAUUAGUUCUCUGAUAUGCCUUCAAGGAGGAAGUGACACUUUUGUACAAUAAAUUUUGCUAAAACAAGUAUAUGCAUUUUUCUGCUAAAAAUACUCAAAAUCUACAUAAGAAUCAGUAGCAUUUUUGCUUUUUGUAUCACUAGCAGCAACAUCUGCUAUCUUCUUAUCAACUGGUGGUGGUGCUGUCUCUUUUUUAGCAUACUUUGAAAAGUCUAUGACAUCUGGUAUAUGUGGUGGUGAUGCACUUCUAACUAGAGCCCAAUUCACUCCUUCAAAAAAUGGAUGUUGUUUUAUUUCGGUUGCACCUCUUUUAUAAGCAAUUCUCUUCUGAGGUUCUUUCACAAGCAAUCCUCUAAUAAGAUCGCGCGCCACGGUACUAAUUUGAGGACUAUCUGGAAACCUCAGUGGCUGUCCAACAACAUUGAAAAGUGUUGCUUUGUAUCCUGCACCUUUAAAAGGUGUUGCUCCAUGUAACAAUUCAUACAAGAAGAUUCCAAAAGUCCACCAAUCUACUGCACUACCAUGUCCUUCUCCUUUGACUAUUUCAGGAGCUAGAUACUCAUGUGUUCCUACAAAUGACAUUGAUCUCACAUUUGUUGGUUCUGCCAUUAGUUCUGGAAGGCGGUUUCCGUUAACCAAUAGGCCAAAGUCUGAUUUUGCCUUUCGAUUCUUCUUCGAAGGCAAAAUGCGAGGGAAAAAGCUUGAUGAUGUCUGAGCAGUUCCAACUGCUUGGUCAUCAUUAAACACACCUCCAGAAUCACUACCGUUUCCGCUGUUUCCUACAUUUGUAGAGGAUGACUUGACAAGUGUAGGACUGACGGAGCAGCGAAGCGAUAAAUCGAAAUCCGAGAGCAUGAUAUGUCCUUCGUCCCUAACUAAAAGAUUCUCUGGCUUUAAGUCUCUGUAUACAAUGCCAAGCAUGUGCAGGUACUCAAGAGCUAACAAAACCUCUGAAGCAUAGAACCUAUCACAACAGAUUUGAAUGUAAGAUUCUUGAUCUACAAACUGUGUUCAUAAAGGUUAAAUCAAAUGGCUAACAGAAGUCAUGCCAGUGGUGAAAGUUAAAAACAAAACAAAACAAAACAAAUCAUUUGUAAAUGGAAAAAGUUCGAAUGUAUUCGAAUCAAUCAACUUAGUCUUUGAAAUUGUCAAGUAAGACAAUUUAGUUCUUGAAAUUGAUAUAACUCUAAAUUGAUCCAUGAAAAUGAAAUAUUCAAUCAUAUUAGUUUACUUGAGAUCACAUUUUUUGGAUAAACCAAGGUAUUAUCUACAUGGAACUACAUAGACUAAUCCCUCAAGGUAGCUAAAUCUAUUUAAGAGAUUGACUUCUCCCAACAUGUGUUUUUCUAUAUGCAUCGGUUAUGUAUCGAACACCAAGCCAUCUAGUUAAGGGACUCAAAAGAACUAAAUUGACCGACUCAAAAACUAAUGCAAUUGAGGAUAUUCAAUUUUAUAGAUAAUUUUGCAAAUUCGUUAAUAUUUUGGACCAGGUUGCGUAAAGCCUAAUUUUAAGUACUAAAUUGACUAUUCACUUAUAUGAAGUUAAUCACAGGUUGUUAAAAUCAAUUCAGUCAUGCAAUAUGAGGACAAACUUAAUAGAUCAUCAUCAACUUAUAUGAAGUUACAGUGACUUCUAAAUGUCUUGUGAAGUAUAUGCAGAAAAAUGGAAGAACAGAAGAGAAAAUGCAACAAACAGAUUCAACUAACCUUGCAGCUUCUUCAGUGAAACACUUAUUCGGCUGUUUCUGUCGAAGCGAAUGAAGAUCGCCACCACUACAGUACUCCAUUACAAGACAGUAAAACUUAUCAGUUUCAAAGUAAGAAUACAAAGUAGGCAAAAAAGGGUGAUCAAGAAGUCCAAGAAUCUCCCUUUCUGUCUGUGAUCUAAGAAGCUUGUUUCUACUUAUAAGAGCAGCCUUAUCCAUUACUUUCAUAGCAAAAUGAGCAUCAGUUCCUUUAAGUUCCACAAGGUACACACUUCCAAUGUCUCCGUAACCGAUACGCUUAAGAAGCCUAAAAUGGCUUAGAUUAAGAGGACCAGCUUUGGAAACCAUGUUAAUUGCAUCCCACCUUACAUCACCACCAGUAUGUGGCCUAAUGUGUGAACAACUUGUGCUCUCUAAACUGUCGCUGCGUGAGCUUGUUCCGCUUCCUGUGCCGUGAUUGUUCGCCUUUGUAUGAGUAGGCAUACCCUUUGAAACUCCUGUUGGUAAUCCUGGUGAUGGAGUUGCAGGUUCAGAAUUUGAAGGCAUCCUUGUUCUUGGACUUUGUCUUGAAGUAUUGUAAUCAGAAAUGUUUUUGUUUGGUGGAUUUAGUUUCUGUGGUUUAUUUUUUUUUGCAAAUUUUUCUUCACUUGCUGAAUCUUCCAAUGUGCAUGCAUAUUUUUCUUCUGGAUUCACAUUUUUUGGAUGAGUUGGUGAAUUGUUUCCUGAAUUUGGAUAACUGUGAACAUUAUGAUGUCUCUCAAGAGGUUCUUCUGUUAUUUUGUGAUUCAUCUGCAUUUAUGAUGAAACAAAAGUUUUGAUCAAAUUUUCACAAUCAUGACAUUUGCACCAGGACCAGGACGAGUCCAAGUACCAGAGUUCAAACUGCGGUGAAAGAGAAAAUAGUAACAUAACAUUUUGCUGAUAAAAAAAUGAAUAAUUUGAAGAAACUCAUUCCAAAAGAAUUAUUUAUUAUCAUUUUUUUUUCCUUAAGAAAACAUGAAUUUAUUGUGUUUGAUUAUGAUAAGCAAUUAUGCAUGUGUAGAGUGACUAACAAUGAUGAAACUCUUACCUCUGGUAAAUCAGGCAUUUUGACAGGCUUUGACACAAUGAAUGUGCAACACAAUGACACUCCUUAAGACAAUUUCUGGAAGAAAAAAAAAAAUUGGUUAUGAUGAAGAGAUGAAUUGUUUGUGCAAAACAACAUGAGAAUGAUGAUUUCAUGAUUUUAGCAUGAUUCAAAAAGAAUCAUAUAUAUUUAUUAUAAGAAGCUAAAAUUACUAACAUCUUGCUUUGUGUCUCUUAAUGUGAAACAACAAUUGUAUCAAUAAACUUAUACAAAAUGUAAUUUAAUUUCUUCUUGUGAAAAAAUAUGUACAAAUUAAUAGAGAAAAUUAGGCCUUAUUGUUGAACAUGCAUGAUGCCAUGAUAUAAAAGUCAAGAGCAUAAAGAACCAAAAACUAAAUUCAUGGUUUCCACGUUAUGGAAUCUAAUGUAGACAAAGUCAGAAUUCAAGUAUGGUUAUUACAAAUCAAAUUUUUUUAAGCAAAUAUUUUGACAUGUAAAAGUAUAGAGAAAAAAUAUUAAUUAUGUUGUCACCUUAGGCUCUACCAAUCAUUUGCAACACAAAGAAAUUUAUUAAUAAAAACAAAAAUAAAGAAAACAAAAACAUGGAGAGAUACACCAAAUCAUUAUUGGUAUAUAUAAAAAUGAUAUGUUAACAAUUUAUAUAUUAGAUAUAUGUUGAAGAUUGAUGUGACAAGAAAAUGUAUACAGCAAACAAACCUGAAAGUUAGAAAUUGCAUUAAUUAAUCCUGAUAACUCUUGAGGCUAUGUAAUGUAAGAGCUAAUAACAAUAAUGCUUGAGGUGCAUGGUGAAUGAAUAUAACAAAUUAAAUUUCUUUUCAAGUAAAAAAAAGAGAGAGAAAUUAUGUAUAGGAUGAAAAAGAAAAAAAGGGUUGUUUGAAUUAGGAAAGAAAUGACAUGUGGAUAUUGAAAAUGAGCUGGUUGUUAAUUGGAACACAACCUAUCAACAAAAAAACACUGGAGAGAUGAUGAUAUCUUGUGUGAGAGGAAAUUGUGGAACAAGAGGUAGAAGAUAGCCCCAUAACCACAAUUAGGAAAAUCAAAAUAUUUAUAUAUAGAAAAUUGUAAAUAAAAACUAUAUGAAAAUUAAUUUGUUUUUAUUAAGUAUAGAGUGAUUUACAGAUUAGCAUGAUGGAUAAUUUUGAGAGUGAGAGAGAGAGAGAGAAAAGAGGAAAUGGUCACAGAUAUGAAAAAAGAAUGGAUAGGCGUCAUAUUCUCUUUGAAAUGGAAAUGGAGGUUUAAUUGUCUCCCUCUCAUAUCUGCCUACUCCUAAUGUGUCCUUAAAUUGACAACAUCAUGUUAUGUUGUCACCACCAUAGCUUAGACCUAUAUCAUGUAUACAAGUCAUUAUUUUUUAUGUAUUUUUUGUUUGCAUUAUAAGUUUAAUUUAUAUGUACUUAGAAGUCUAAUGAUAAAAUUUUAUUAAUUUAAUAUAUAAAUAUAAGUUAUGAUGAUAUUUUAAAAAAAUUUAGCUCCGUCAAAAUUGAUGUCAUUUAAUAAAACAAUAUAAUUUUUUAAUAGAAGACAUUAACUUGACAUAUUUCAAUCACAUGCUAAAUGAAUAAGUUGUCAUUUUUUAUUUUUAGUUCAUUUCGAUGUUUAGGAUUCAUUUUAUAUUAUAUUUUUUAGUCUAAAUAUUUCAAUGACAUACCAAACAAUUAAGUUUGGUCCUCUUUUUUUUAGUUCACUGCAAUGUUUAGGGUUCAUUUUAUACUAAUUUUAUUUUUGAGUCUAAAUAUUUUGUUGCAUUUAUCAAUGUUUUUUUUUUCUUCCGGUGUACGUAGUUAUUGUGAGUGAAAAAUGGAUUUGAAAUAUUCUCUAUUUUUGAACAAUAUAUUUUAUAAGGAAAUUAAAACUUAAUUUAGUGUGUUCAUUCGCACUUUGCAAUGUGAUAAUGUUCAUGAAUAUUUGUCUAUCAAUAAAUUUUAUGGUUUCUAACAACGUUCUUUACCAAACAUCUUGUGCUCAUACAUUUCAACAAAAUGGUAUAACCGAAUUGACACCUUAUUGAAACCACUUGUACUUUUCUUAUUCACGGUAAUGUACCAUCUUAUUUGGGGGAAUGUUAUCAUGACAACGUGUUAUCUCAUAAAUCUCAUGUCUUCAUCUCUCCUUGAUAAAAAAGUUUCUCACCAAGUCCUCUUUCUUCACACCCUUCUUCACUCACUUUCUCCUCGUGUCUUUUGGUCCACAUAUUUUAUUCAUAUUCUCACUUCUGGUCUUGACAAACUUUCGGUUCAAUCACUAAAAUGUGUCUUUCUUGAUUACCAUCAAUCCCAAAAAAUUAUUGUUGUUGUUCUUCUACUCUUUGACGAUAUCUCAUAUAAGCUCAUAUCACAUUUUUUGAGCAUGUCACGUACUACGAGUAGUUUCUUGACCCUAUAUUUGUAGUUAUUUCUAUGGACCCACCAAAAUAUGUUUCACCAGCUCAUUUACCACUAGAGCCUAUUACAUAUACCCCCUUGAGACACUUCUAGUGACCCCUCUCGUUGUCCCACUUGGACUCUCCUACUGUAUAACUUCUUUAGACAUAUUGCUUUCGGCACCCACCAUCUAAUGUACAUGUCUCGACUUCUAUUCAUGAUACUGAGGCCAUUCUAGACGUUCCUUCGAUGUCACCUCAUUUAUCGGAUCCGACCUUUGAUCUUCCCAUUGCUAUUCUUAAAGGUAUACAUCUUACUCGUAACUUAUCCCCUCAUUACAUUGUUUUGAGUUAUCAUUGUCUUUCUUCUUUGGAUUACACUUUCUUGUCUCCCUUUUCUUUAGUUUCUAUUCCUAAAUCUCUAGCGAAACAUUAUUCCAUCCAAAGUGGAGCCAAGUAAUGAUUGACUAGAUGUGUGCACUUCAAAACAAUGAUACUUGAGAAAUCUUCCUUUAUCCUUUGGGAAUUCUUUAGUAGAUGGCCAUGAGCUUUAUACGGUGAAAGUUGGUUCUCAUUGUAAGGUUGACAAUUUUAAUGUUGGUUUGGUGGUAAGUUGUUAUGCUCAAUAUUUUUUCUCAAUUACAGUGAUAUUUUCUCAUUUGUUGCUAAGAUGGCCUUUGUCAUACUCCUCUUUAUUGCAAUCAUUCAUCCUUAGCCUAUGCACCAACUUGACUUUAAUUUUUUGCAUAGUGAUCUUAAAGAGAAACCACGUGGAUUGCAGCAUGGAGGGGGGAGUCCUCUAACAUAAUUCUAAAUAGUCUCCUUAAGCUUGGUUUGAUAGACUCAUCACAAUUGUACAACAACCUGGUAUGACUCAAAGCGAAACCAAUCAUUCUAUAUUUUAUUUCCACUCAGUCCAAGGGUUCAUUUACUUGAUUGUCUACAUAUAUGAUAUUGUCAUCUAUGGUAGUGAUUAGCAUGACAUACUUCAGUUUAUACAACAACUAUCUCAUCAGUUUCAGACUAAAGAUUUUUUGCAAGCUUCGUUAGUUCUUGGGUAUUGAGGUAGCCCAAUCCAAUGAUGACUUAGUAAAGAGGUAUGCGAUGGAUAUCCUUAAAGAGACAAAUUUAUUGAGUGUCAAGCCAGUUGAUACUCCUAUUGAUCCAAAUGUCAAAGUUCUACAUAAUAAAUGGUAGUCACUUUCAAAUUUAGGGAGAUAUAGAAGAUUGAGUGGUAAAUUAAAUUACCUUACAAUCAUCCAUCCAAAUAUUUCAUUUGCAUUUAGUGUGGUAAACCAAUUCUUAAGCUCUCCUUGUCGAGAACAUUAGAAUGUUGAUAUCUUGAGAUACAUUAAUGCUUUAGGAAAAUGUCUAAUUCAUGAGAACACAUGAUACACUCAAAUAUUUGGUUAUUUAAAUGUCAAUUAAGCAAGUUGCCAAGCUCGCAUAUUGAUAGUUGAUCCACUUUUGUUGUGUACUUGUUGGAGGAAAUUUAAUAUCAUGGAAUUGUAAGAAACAUGGUGUAGUUGCAAAAUCCACUAUUGAAGCUGAAUUAAGGAUCAUGACAUUAGUGACUUGUGAGUUAUUUGGUUGAAACAUUUACUCAAAUAGUCAAUUUGAAGAGGCAACAUAAAUGACAUUAAUUUGUGAUAAUCAAUUUUUCACAAUGACCAAACAUAUUGAGAUAGAUUGUCACUUUGCAAAAGAAAAGAUUGAAUCAAGCAAAAUCACUACUAAUUUUGUUAAUUCAAAUGAUCAAUUGACAAAUGUCUUCACUAAAUCCUUGAGAGGUCUUCAAAUCAAUUAUAUUUGUAACAAGCUGGAUGCAUAUGAUCUAUCACUACAAGAAAAGAAGGAAUUUGUGAGGGCCAAAAGCCCUCACAAAGGGCAAAUAGCAGCCACAAAUAAGCUGGUCACAAACUUUUGUGAGGGCUUUUGCAGCCACAAAGUUUGUAAAACACGUUGCCAUUUGUGAGGGCCUUUGCAACCACAAAAGGCUGCCUUUGUGAGGGCCUUUGCAGCCACAAAAACUUGCAUUUGUUAGGGCACAUGCCGCCACAAAGGACAGACUGAUUUUAAAAAAUUCAGCCUUUGUGAGGGCCUAGGCUGCCACAAAAUCCCUCCUUUGUGAGGGUUUAGGCCGCCACAAAGUACCAUCCAGAUUAAAAAAUAAAUAUUUUGUGAGGGCUUAGGCCGCCACAAAAUAUUACGUAUAUUAAAAAAUUAAUUUUUCAAAUUUAACAUUAAUAUUGUAUUAUAAUAUUAUAUAUAAUAAAUUAAUAUAAAUAUAAAUUUAAAAUUUAAAUUAAAAUUAUAAUUAAAUUUAAAUUUAAAUUAAAUUUAAAAUAUAAUAUCAUUAUAAAUUAAAUUUAAUAUAUAAUAAACUAAUCUGAAUAUAAUUAAAAAUUAAAUUUAAAAUAAAAUAUUUAAAUUAUAAUUAUAAUUAAAGAUGAAUUUAAAUUACAAAUAAAACAAAAUUUAAAUUAAAAUUAAAUUAAAAUAAAAUUAAAAUUAAAAUAAAAAUAAAAAUAAAAUUAAAAUUAAAAUUAAAAUUAAAUAUUAAAAUUAAAAUAAAUAUUAUAUAUAAAAAUAUAAUAUUAAUAAUAAUUAAAGUAAUUACCACAAAAUCAAAUAAAACAUGCAUUCCAAAAUUAACAAAUAAUGUCUUACAAACCCAAAAUUUAUAAAUAAUGUCUUACAAACCCAAAAUUAAACACACAAUAAUUAACUAAGACAACAUAAUUAAUAUGUGUUCAUACAACCCAAAAAUAAAUUAUGAAAUUAUUCAAAUGACAUCAAUCCUCAUAAUAAUUCCUCUGAUCAGCUCCACUCCCACCAUCAUUAUUUCCUGCAAUGUUACCCGACGAAAGAAGUCCCUCAAAAGUAUUAUUAAUUUGUGUUGGAGGAGACAUCAUAGUUUGAAAUUGAAUUUCAUCUUCAAUGGCACCACCACUAGUCGAAGGAGGAGCCCUAGCUGAUUGAGGUUGAUUUAAAUCUAGUCUGAUCAACCCAGCUGUUGGCAUAGUUGGUCGGUAUGCAGUUUGAUGAUCUGGUUGAGGUUGAGGAAGUUGAUGUGAAGAGGACAACACAUACUGAUAAUUAUGAAAAUAUUGUUGUUGCUGAAACAUUGGUGGCUACUGCUGUUGCUGGAAGACAGAGUUCGGAGGAUCCUGGUGUUGCUGUUGGAAAUUUAGAGGCGGUUGCUGCUGCUGGGAGUAUUGAGAGUAAUUUUGUAGCUGCUGGAAUAGUGGUUGUUGAUGCAAGUAUUGAGGCCGAGGCAGGAACUGCUGAUGAAACACAUGAGGAAAUGAAAAUUGUUGUUGUUGAAAUUGCUGUUGCUGUUGAAACUGCUGCUGCUCUUGAAACUUUUGUUUUCCAUUCCUCAUUCAAUUUAUCAAUUGCGGCUUGUAUCAGCUGUUGUGUCUUUUCUUCUUGCUCACUUUCCCAUUGCUUCUUUAACUGGUCAAGAUUAUAUAUCGACGGACGAUGAGAUCGAUCCGUACUAGCAUAAGAAGAAGACGUCUCAGUCUGAAUAUAGCCAGUUGGACCUUUCACAAAGGCUGAUGAUAAACUACCAGCACCCAGCACUGAAACUUUUGUUUCCACUCCUCAUUCAAUUUAUCAAUUGCGGCUUGUAUCAGCUGUUGUGUCUUUUCUUCUUGCUCACUUGCCCAUUGCUUCUUUAACUGGUCAAGAUCAUUAUCUAUCGACGGACGAUGAGAUCGAUCCGUACUAGCAUAAGAAGAAGACGUCUCAGUCUGAAUAUAGCCAGUUGGACCUUUCACAAAGGCUGAUGAUAAACUACCAGCACCCAGCACACGCCCUUUGUACUUGCCACCACUGAUGUGCAUAAAACUUGCGGUCUCAUAUUGUUUCCGCAACACUGGACCAGCUCGCAGAGCAGGAGGAAGAGUAGCUUGAUGAUCAUCCCAUUCUUUCAUGAUUUGCUGAAGUUGUUCCUAUAUUAAAAAUAAAAAAAUAAAAAAUAAAAAUAGUUAAUAAUUAAUAUAUAAUAAUUUAUAGAUCUAAUUAAUAUAUAAUAAUUACCUAAAUUAUUUUUGAUAAUUCAUCAGUAUACUCAUUUGUUUCAGGAUUAACAUGAAGAUAGCGAUGUAUCUCAGCCUGAGUGACCUCCCUUCCAAGUUGCUUUUCCUAAAAUAUUAAAUUAAUGUCAAGUUUAUAAGUUGGUGAAAUGUGAUGAUUAAUUGAAUAUAAAUUAAUAGAUAUAUAUUAUAAAUAAUAAUAAAUUACCAUAUAAUAUUUAAUUUCUCCAGCAGACAUGGAACCUCCCUUAUGAGUACUGGUACCCCUCUCAGAUGCUCUAUUAGUCUUUGCUUUUUCUCUCUUCUGUUUGUAAGCAUCUGUGUUCCAUUUCCUCCACAAAGCAGUCCAAACAUUUUCACCAAUCCAAUUAGGCCGUUUUUCCUCCCCCUUAUUACGUGCGUAAGCCAACAUAGAUGAGAGACGCUUUGAAAAGCGAUGGUCAAAUGAAGCCAAAACUGCGGCAUCACACUCUCUUUUCCAAGUACAUUUAGUUUGUUGUUUGUUUAAAUUUAAAAAAAUAUUAAAAAUAUAAUUAGUAAUUCAAUAAAUUAAUCAAAUGUAUAUAUAAUUAGUAAUUAAAUAUAUUAAUCUAAUGACUUACUUUGAAACAAUGUAAAAAUUGAUCAACUUCGCUAAAUUGAAGUGUCUUAUCCUCUUUUAUCUCACCCAAGACAACCAUGGUUUUUUAUAUUUCUCUUGUAUAGCUUCAGCAAUUGCCUUUGCAGAUGAUUUAAAAGGAAAAUAUCUUCAAAGUUUAUAUGCAAAUUAAAUAUAAAAUAAAUUAAUAAAAUUAAUAAUGUAACAUUGCAAUAAUAAUGAAAUAUUUAAUCAAUCAUAGUUUACAUACCCAUCUCCUUCUGGAAUAAUGACAAUGCGGUUGUAGCAAUCAACACAUCCGGGAUCUAUUAUUUCGUCUAAGGUAUAAGGCUCUACUGGGACUCCGGAUAUAGAGGAAUAACUCCACCACUAGUACCAAUGGUCGGCAUCAGCAUGAGAGAUGGGUCAUUAGCAACACGUGGUUUAGCAACUUUUUUCUUACCACGUGAUGUUUUGGAUAUUCCUCGUAUUGCCAUCAUUCCUGUUCCUCCUGAUCCAUCCGAACCUCCUGAUCCUCCUACUCCCGACACUAAAGCCAUGUCUAUAUAUAUAUAUAUAUAUAUAUAUAUAUAUAUAUAUAUAUAUAAUGCGUAAUUAAUUAAUUGUCUUCGUCUUCGUCGUCGUCGUCAUUUGAUGAGUGAAUUAAGUCAUUGCCUUCAUCAUUCUCUAAUUCAUCUAUUUCUUGUUCAUCAACUUCUUCUCCAAUGUGUGACUCAUGACAAAGUUGACUAAUAGUCUCAUAUCCAAUCACAUGAUCCAAAUUUGACAUUUCAUCCAUUUGAAAUGCAACUUCUUCAUGUUGACCUGCUUCAACUUCUUCUAUGCCACUCGUUGGUCUUGUUUUGAUUGCAACACACCAACCUUGUUUGCUUCUGACAGUUGAUGUAUAAGGAACAUAAUACACUUGUCUUACAUUAUGGGUCAGUGCAAAUGGAUCAAACUGUGGAUAUUUUUUGCUCAUACGAGUGUCUACAGUAUUGGAUAUCAAAUUUAUUUUAGUUCCUCUGCUAGAUGUAUCAAACCACUUACAGUAAAACAACACCAUUUUUUAUCGCAUAAUCUAGGAACGUGUAGUCAAUUUCGUAAAUAUGCUCAAUUAUGCCAUAGAAAUCUUCUACUACACCACUAUCAGAGACACUUUUCAUACAAACUCCACUAUUAAUUGUUUCUUUUCCUUCAGUCCAAGAUUUAGUGUGAAAUUUGUAUCCAUUGACGUAAUAGGUGUGCCAUUCUUUGAAACUUCUACUCGGGCCCAUAGAUAAGUGCCUUAAGUGGAUGUUGAUAGGAGUUUGUUCUUCGAGAUGCACUUGUUGUUGAAACCAUAAUGGGAAAUUUGAAUGUAUAUCAUCAGAUGAUUGUCCCGUAGUUAAAAAUGACCUGAUCGAUGACCAUAUAUAUGGUGAAUAUCAAUUUAAUCAUAUAAUUAAAUAUAAUUAAUAAGAAGAGGAAUUUGAAACGUACUAAAUGUAUGGUUUAACUUCAGUGCAGUUAAUCAAAACGUGAACAUGUGCCGCAUUAAAUACUUUGUCGUUUGGCUAGAAAAUCUGAAAAUCCCUACCAGCAUGAUGACCAGACAAGCAAAAAACUGUUAAAGCAUGUGGAUGACGUAUAACACUAUCAGUAGCGUUUCUUUCGUUAACUGGUAACAAUGUUUUGUUGUUGAAAUAAUAAGAACAAAAGUGUGUUGUUUCACGGUGUAGGUAAGAUGAACAAAUUGAGCCCUCAACUCUAGCUUUGUUUUUCACCGACCGUUUUGAAUACCCAUGAAACCUAUAAUAUACAAAGAGAUGUACAAUAAGCUCCAUGUAUAUAUAAGUUGAAGUAUAUAUUGAAAAUCAAGUAUAUGUAUAUAUAUAUCACCUUUCAAAUGGAUACAUCCAUCUAUACUGAACUGGUCCACCAAGCCUAGCUUCACUUGCAAGAUGCACUGAGAGAUGCUCCAUGGAAUCAAAAAACCCAGGAGGAAAUACUUUCUCCAACUUACAUAGAAUGAUCGGAAUGUCAUUUUCCAUCUUGAUGAGAUCUUUAUCAAUGAGUGUUGAAGAACACAAAUUCUUGAAAUAUUGACUCACUUCAAUAAGUGGGUUCAAUACAUGUGUCGGUAAAGCACUAAAGGCAAUAGGAAGUAAACACUCUAAAAAUAUAUGACAAUCAUGACUUUUCAUCCGAUGCAUCCUCCCAUUUUCCACAUCAGCACAUCUUGCCAAAUUAGAACAAUAACCGUCAGGCGUCUUCAGCUCUUUCCGUUUUGUUCCACCAACAACAAACACACACACACACACACACACACACACACACACUAACUUGAUGCCGAGUAGCGUCUGACUUGAAGCUUUUACUUACGGAGCUUACAAGUCUUCGAAGUAAUUAACAACCACUGUAAAAAAAAAAAUUCAAUAAUAUUAAUUACUUAAAUCAAAUCAAAAAAUAAAAUUAAAAAACUACAUAUAUAAUAUAAUAUAAACUUACCAAAAUUGAAUCAAACUUGAUGAAUAUUUUUUGUAGAGAGAAUAGUUAGAGGGAGGUUUUAGAGAGAAGUUAGAAGUGAAAAAAUGAAAGAGGAGUGGAGUAAUAUAUAUAGGAUAUGCUUGAUCCUUUGUGGCGGCCAAAGCAGCCACAAUGACCAACGGAUAUUAGACAUUUGUGGCAGCCUGGGCGGCCAGAACUGCCAACGGUACUAUUGUUGUUUGUGGCGGCCUUUGCUGCCACAAAAUUUAACGGUCUUAACCUUUGUGGCGGCCUGGGCGGCCAGAAAUUCCAACGUCAAUUUUUGUCCUUUGUGGCGACCUUUGUAGCCAUAAACAGUAACGUUCACUUGCUUUUGUGGCGGCCUAUGCAGCCACAAAUGGACAUGUCACUUCAGUCUUUUGUGGCGGUCUUGCCCCUCACAAAAUUUAUAUUUUGUGGCUGAAAAAGCCCUCACAAAAUUCUUAAAAAUUUAACUAGAUUUUGUGGCUGCCUAAGCCCUCACAAAAUCACAACGUUGUGAUUUUGUGAGGGCUUAGGCAACCACAAAAUCCAGUUAAAUGUUUAAGAAUUUGUGAGGGCUUUUUCAGCCACAAAUAAAGACCAAUUUCAAUUUUUGUAUUUGUGAGAGCUUUUUCGGUCACUAAUUUGUGAGGGUUUUAUUCGGCCACAAAAUAUUGUUUUUCUUGUAGUGUAUAUGCUUCAGUUUAAGGGGGAAUGUUGAAAUAUAUUAUGAUCUAUGUAUUUAUCAUCAUAUCAUAUAGGGAUAACAUCUCUUAUAUUUAUUUUUGUAUUUAUUGCCUUAAACCUAUAUAAAUAUAAAAUCAAUUUUAUUGUGUAGUUUAAACACACGGUUUUAAUUUAUGUCUCUCAUUUAAUAAUAUACCAAAGAUGAUUUUUUAGGACUUAGAUAAAUUCUUAAAAUCAUUUGGUUCUCUUUGUAAUAAUCUUAAAAAUAAAUAAUAUAUUGGUUAUAUGUAUUCCCUUCUCUUUACAAACACACUUAAAUAAAAUUGAAAAUUUCUCUCUUUUUGGCUCUCCUCCCUCUUUCCAAAGUCUUCAUCUCCCCUACCCUCCACUCCUAAAUGGACCAACCGGUAAUGGGUCUAACCAUGGUCUUGUGCCGAUCAAUAUCAUGGUUUCAAUAUCAUUAACAAAUCUCUAUAAAAGAUAAAUGAGUAAAGACCAAAGGAGAAAAUACACAAGAAUUUCUCCAAACUACUUACGUUUUUGUUAGUUUUAUUCCUUGGUUACAGCAAAUAGUAAGCAAGCACUGCUUUAGAGGGCGUUACAUUAACAAUACAGGUAUCCUAUAAUUGCAUUCUCAUGAGAGGCAACUCUCUAAACAUUAUGUAUGGUUAAUGCAUAGAUCCUUGGAAAGUUUUAAAACACUUGAAAUUCCCCAUUUCACUAUAUUGUCAAUUCCAAAACCCAACAAGAGAGUAAUAUUAGACAACAAAAACCACACCUGAUGCCAAGCAACAAUAGUGUCUCCAACAGUAGAUAGUGUCGCAGAAAUGGUUGAAGAAUUAAGGUGGCAGUAACAAUGACAUUGGAACAUUAAUUGACAACAAAACUACCAAAUGACAAAGAUGAAGACAAAAUGAGAUGACGGAGAAAAAUCACACGUUAAAUGAUUGCGUGCUUCUCAUUUAAUUCUACAUUCUUCCAUAUGGCACAACUACGUCUAAUAUUCCAUGCAUUUAUAAUAUGCAAGGCUAUGUUGCUUUCUAUUUUCUCUAUAAUGGGAUAACAAUUCCUAAUAAUGAGUUAAGUCAUAACCAUUCCUAAUAAAAGAGAUAAAGAAGUCCAAACAACAAAAUUGUAGAUCCAUAAAAGGGUCAAUCUCAUUGCAGAUCUAUUGUAGACAACCUUGUCUUAAAUUUGCAAGAGAUUGAUUCCAUUAUUCCACAACUUAGAACCUACAACCUCCUAGUCAUACAACCCUAACCGUUGUGCCAAGACUCACUUUCGGAAAAACAAUACAGUCUAUUUUUAUACUAAAGAUAUCAUACAUUAAGUGACAGGUGAAAGCAAAGCAUUGAUGUGGAUUCUCAACUACGGAUCCAUAUUUUGAUUAGUCUUCUGUGCAGAAGAUGAAUAAUGGGAUUCAAGUUCUUUCAGGCUAGCUGCAGCGUCCUCUCCAAUCCUAGAUAAUGUGCGGUCCGAUUUUUCUGCCAGUUGGUUAAACUCAACCUUUCUUUGUUCUACAUGGUCAUUAAGGGAAGCAAAUCCUGAGAAUAUUGCAGUCUGCUUCAGCUCCGACACCAAUUUAAGUAGAGAAUCAGCUCCUUGAACCUGUGUGUAUAUCAAAAUAUGAGCAAAAAGAAAAUUAACUCAAUAACCCUAAGAGUCUAUUUGGUUUGACGGAAAGAAAAACAGGAGUUAUUUUAAUAGAAAGCAUGGGGGAAUCUUUUGGUAGCUGUGGUAUUAGUGUUAAGUAUCCACAAACUUUGCUGAUGAUUAAUCUCCAUCAGAGAACCUGGCUUACCACUUUUAGUGCAGUUGCCCCUCCAAAUUACAAUUUUCAGUCCACAAGACUUGAACUCAAGACCUUGGUUAAGGAGUUCGAGUCCAAUUCCACUCAGACAAACGUGAUGUGGAGGGCAGGAUUUUAACUAUACAUUCUAUGUUGUUGGAGAGGGGCAGGAGGAGAAGAGAGGGAAAUGAACUCUUCCUGUUUUGUUUGGUUCACAGGGGGAGGAAAGGAAUUAUAAAUUUAUAAUGGAGGAAUACGACAAAUAAAACCCACAGUAACACUGAGAACUUUGAUGCAUAAAAAACAUAAUGUCUGUGCAAGAUACUAGCAGAGAAGCAUAAGAAUAACAGAGCUGUAUUCUUACCAUCCUAGCAGCACGCAUCUCCAUCAUAAAAGCUUCCUGUGAAUUUCUAACAGGAGGAUCAUUUACCUGCAAAAGUGUGCAAGCUUGUAUGAAGUUAAGAAGUAACAACCGAACAUUAUGCACAAACAACAUUAUGCACAAACAUUUAGCAUGUCAGGAAAUCCAAACAAUUAUUCGUGUUUGACAAGAAGAAAGAGCUAGUCAAUUAGCAGAGACUACAUAUAUCAUUUUCUUGGAGUUUCUGAAACUAAGGACAGGAUGUUAAUAUGUUAUAACCAAAAAGUUAAAGAUAUGCAUGUUUAUAUAUGUUGAAUCCCUGAACAAAAUAUAAGAGAUGAUGACAAACAACUCUUGACUCUUUUCCAUUGAUACACUCAGGGCAAUUUAUGUAUCACAAAGUUGACAAUGUUGAUGAAACAAACACUAUUUUCUUUUUCCAAGAUAAUGCCAACUCAAUGAUUAAAUCCGACAUUUUCAUUCUCAAAAGUAAAUAGACCAUGUUUAUCUUAAUCUUUAAACUCCAUCCCAACCUUCUACUAUAUUGUGUAAGCCAGCGGGAAACAUCUCAAAAUGUUAAAUUGUAGCAUAUCUUUAAUACAGAUGGCAUCUACCAAGUUAUUUUCAGAUAGAUUAUUAUUGCAUGGAUUACUCUUCAACAUGAUGUUUUUUGUUGUGUCUUUAGCUGCUUCUUUUCAUUGUUUCAGCCUCAAUGGAUAAGAGAAAAGUGAACAAACAAAUUUUAUUUGCUGUUUUCAGCAUAAUUAAUUCUAUAAGACAAAUCAUUAGGCAAGAUGCAAAUGUGCACUGUUCAAAAAAACAUCAUUGGGUUUGGGUUAAAAACAAAAUUCCCAAAUCCAAUAGCUGACACUGCAAUGAAAUUUCAGAAUAGUUGGAUAUCAUCAACACCAGUAGGCAGGAUCCAAUUCCACAGUACAUGGAUCAGCACUUAUGAUUUAUCAAAUCAGUAAAAUCCAUAUGGUAUCAAGAUGGGAAUCAAAAUUGUACUAAGAAAAACGAAAAAUUCCAUAUUAAAUAAAUUCUGGAAGAAUUAUAUACCAAUAAUCAUAUGUGCUUCUACUUGAAGACACAAUUAAAAUGGCAAUUACAGAAAAUGAAAAUAGCAAAAAUAAUUGAAAGAUGGAAUUCUUAGUAGGAGAUAAUUGAAAGGACAGUGAAGAUAUAUACAUACCCUGGCCACAUUGACGAGGUGGCUAAAAUUGUCGACAAUGUUAGCAAUAUCACCAUCCACUCGCUGCAAUAACGUCUUCUGCUUCUGGGCUGCAGCUGCCGCUGCUGCCGCGGUCGGCCCACCACCACCUGGUCCACCUUUGUUCAUUCUCUCCUUCUUUCCUUGUGACGAAACUCUGAAGAACAAGAAAGAGAGACACUCACUGACUCAGCUCCUAGCACAAUUAGGGUGAGUAUUUAUAUGAUAAAAAGAAAUGUCUUGCUUAGAGGUAGAGCUAUCAAUGUUGCAAGCCCACUAUUCUUGACCCCAAAACACAUGCUGGAGGGCUAAGGUGGCCCAUAGGCCCAUUUUUCCAAUUUUUUUUCUUCAAACUUUUACAGUCCACACGGAACUAGGGAUUUGGAAUGCAUGUCCUGUAUGCAACUUGCAAUCGUAAAAUAUGAUAAAAUGCUAUCAAAUUUCAAAUUCUAGGAUUCAUAUUGUAUGAACAACACUUCCCAAUAUUCUUCAAAACUUAAAAAAAAUCAACCAAUUAGGCUUGUUAUUCUGCAUAAACAAGAAAAUGCUCAAAAUGUAUACAUAAAAAUGGAUACCUUCAAAGCUGAGUGUUCACAAUGAAACUCAAAACCAAUCAAAUAACAAGCCAAGUGAUCUUGGUUCUGCUGACAGUUUAAAAUCUACUUGCAAUAUGCAAAAAUAAAAUAUAGAAACUUAUCAUCAUUUGGUUACCUCAACAACCAAAAAAACCCUUUAUUUUCUUAUCCUAAAUAUGUCAACAAGUAUCACUUAAGAAGCUCAAUUAUAAACAGAAUUGAAGUUAGACACAAUUGAACAUCACACAUCUUCACCAAAUCUUCUAAUCGACUAAGCCCCUUAAUUCUUACUUUCAAAAUUGAGCAAUUAACACUUCAAGAGAUACAUAUGCUCGUCAAUGAAGGUAACAUCCACAAUCAAUUAAGAAAAACAAAACUACAAGAAAAGGAUGCUUAACAGCUUUAAUGCUAUAAUACCCCACAUGCUCUCUCAUAUAUAAAGGUAAAUUCUAAACACUCAACAAGCAUAGAAGCUCAUUACAAACUUCAACAAUCUAAAUCAUAAAAUAGUGACCCAAAAUAAAAAUACAACAAACCCAAAAACCAUAACCCAAAACUAUCUUGAUUUUUGACCAAAUAUAUCUAAUAAAAGUCCCACCAUUCUAACUAACAAAAUGGGAGUUAAUAAAGCAAAAUUUAAGAUAUAUUGGUGAUCUAACAGAAAGUUAAAACAAUACCAUUUAUAAUAAAAUGGGUGGUAUAAGAUAAAUUUACAAUCCAAUAAUGAGCCUCGUUGAGGCAUUUCGACAAACACCUUGUAAGGGACUAUGUUAUUGCACCCAUCAAAUGAAAUCAGAGAAAAAAAAUAAAAAAUUGAAAGUGAAUGGGUUUGUGGGUUAGAUAGGUUUACCAGUGACAAAGUGAUGAAGCCUUCACAGGUGAAACGGCAGUAGCUUCUACUCGUUUCUACAGGUUGUGGUGUGGGUGUGUUUGGUUUGAGUGAUUUAGAAGGGAACGAAAUAGUGAAGAGAAAGAAAAGGAGAAAUAGAGACGAAAGAAUAAAAUUGCUGGGUCCCACACGUUUAUCAUAUGUGCUAAGAAAGUCAGAAAAGAACAGAAAAAAGCGACUAUUUUUGUGGGUUUUUAGUUAAGGUUUAAAUAUAGUUUUUUUUUUCUUUCCAAAAAGUGUACCCACAUUUUUUUUUGUUAUUCAUUCUUUGAUGUAUGAUAUUGAAAAGUAUCAUUUUUAAUUUUUGUUUUAGUUUAUAUAUAUUUAAUAAAAAAAUAUGGGUUUAGUUUAUGCAAUUAUAUUGUUUUUUAAUUUUAGUUUUUGUAAGUAUUUUUUGUUUGAUUUCAAUCCUUGUAAAAUUAUAAAUUGACGUUUUUAGUCUUUGGCGUCAUAUGUCACCUAAUAAAAUCAUGUCACGUGGUCACAUAAGCUAACAACAAGAACUAAAAACAACAAUUUCUAAAUUUGUAGGGAUUCGAACUUGACAAAAAAAAUUAUGAAGACUAAAACAAGUUGAAAAUCUUCUAGUGAGAUCUAGAUUCGUAUUUCACCUUAUUUUGAGACAGUUGAGUUGAUUCACCCAAAACUUGACUAUUUUGAUAGAAAACUCAUUUUCAAUUACAUCACAUGUAACUCUUGGAUUAGUUAGAUGAACAACACUUGUAAUAUAAUGAAAGUGUAUGAUGCAAUCAUUCAUAUCAUGAUCCUAUGUAUUUCAUAUUAUUUGGUACAUUGAGAACCAAGAUAAAUUGAAAUUCAUAUUGGUCAAGUGUUGACGGUUUACUUAGUUCAAUAAGAGUUGUUGAAUGGCUAUAGUCACAAAUGGAAGACUAUGUUAAUGGUCUAUAUAAUAAAGGACUUGAAACCUACUUAAAGUGAGUAGCACAUCGAAAAAUAAUUUAAAGCUAUGCAUUCUUGCAUUUAAGAUGGCAAAAAGGAUUACAAAAGAAAAUGUUACUUCGAAUGUGGUUUGAUCAAAUAUUGGAAGAAGAAUUGUCUCAUAUACUAGAAAUAGUGUAAGUUGAAUAAAAAAAAGUUAAACUUUUUCUUUAAAAUUUUAUCAUAGAAGUAAACUUCUUCUAUAAAAUGUGUAUAAGAUUCAAUAUAUAAAUGAGUAGAAUGUGAUUAAAGUCAAAAUUCAAUCUACAUAUUUGAUAUACAACAAUUGGUUCUACAUAAAUAUAGGGAUCUUUGAUUUUGACUUUUGGGCUUAUUUGAACCUUAAUAAGUGUUAUUAUUUUGAAAAUCUUGUUAUAAACAUCACUUCCAUUUCUUGAGAUGAUAAGAAUUGAUGUUUUGUUGUAAUAAAAGGAUACUUGUUAUUUCAUUUAUUCAAUUGAUGUUUUCAAUGUUAGAAAUCUUGAAAAACACAAAUCAUGUGUCGUUGAUCUCAAGUUUCCCAUUUAUGACAUACAGGACAAUAAGUUCAAAUCUAGUUAUUUGAUUUUUAUAUACCUUGACAUUAUAUUUUAGGUCAUAUAAGUCAGAAACGUAUUUUAAGUGCCAUGAAAAUGAACCAUUGGACUCAUUCAUUUGGAAAUUGUUUGAUGUUUAUGAUAAUUACUUAUCAGAAAUGACGACUAAGCUUUGAUCAUCAGUCAUGAUAAAAAAGUUGGUGAUCUUUUGGCAUGAUACAUUUGAAGGUGAUUAAACACGAGAAAGGGGGUUGAAUUGUGUUUAUCUAAAUUCAAUUGUUUUAUGAAUUCUUAGACUAAUUUUGGUUCUGGUGACUUAACUCUUUUAAAGGAUCAAAGGCAACAACAAAAUAAGUAAUGCAUAAGCAAAAUAUAACACACUAGAGAUCUACAAAUUAUUAGAGGCAAACUAAAGCCAUUACUGAGUUGGGUUACAAGAGAUUGAAACUGGUUCAGUUUUGCUUCUACUAAACAUAUUUGAUACAAUGAUUUUUUCACACUACGACACUUAAAAUAUUUUUCUUUGAAAGAGUGCUUUGCUAGAACUUAAUACACUUUGAAAGAAAAUGUUUUAAAAACCUCAUAGGAUAGUGUCUAUAAUUAUGUUAAGUAUGAAAAAUACUUUAUAAAGAAAUUCUUGCAAAUGACAUAGGCAGAAGCUAACAAGCCUUUUAUUAUCUAAGGUGUUAGCAUAAACAAUAAACGAGGUAUUGCUUGCCUGAUAUUGGUUAAAUAAAUGUCACAAUAAAAGAACUUGUCCUAUGCAAAAAAAACCAUGGAAAAACAAGAUGUUAGAACUAAGAUGGUUUUGAAGAGUAAUGUAUGACUAGUUUUGUUGAUAACAAAAGGAAAUUUAUAAGAAAAAUUUAAUGUACUAAUAUUCUAAAUUAAGUGUGUAGAAAAAUAGAACAAAUCAGAGGAAACGAAACUAUGAGAGGAAACAUAAUGAUCAGAGGAAAUGCGCCCUAAUGCGUGUGCAGUCAGUUGUCUCUGAUGCGCUCACUCCAACGUUAACUCUGAAAUGCUCAAUCUAAUAAAUCAACUUUGACUUUUAUAUGCAACAUGAUUCUGAUAAAGUUGCCUUUGCCUUUGAAAGUAAUUCAACACAUGUAGAUUAUUGAUUAUGCCUUCGAUAUUUUGACUCCAUCUCUCAUAUUCAAACAUUAUAAACUAACUAUGAUUUUCAUCCUUCUGACAAAAUUCAAUGCCUAUAACAAAAGUCAACUCCUUUAACAGAAAUUCAAUGCCUAUGACAAAAGUCAACGACUUUAAAAGAUGCAUUAGUUAUGAAAAGACUUGAAAAAUUCUUGAAAAUGUGCCACUCUGUUACCUAUUGAUUGCACCGAAUGAAAUAUAUGGCUAAGUAUUUUUUUAGUUGGGAGAAACGACUUACAAACAGACAUCACCAUUGACAACGGUGAUAAUUUUCAAAUAUGCAGAAACAAUCAUAAUUGAAACACACUUCAUCACACCAGUUCAAAACAUCAAUUUAGAUGUGAGCAAAAUUGAAUCAAGGCAAUGUUUCAAUUUAAUAUUGAAGCAAGAUAGAUGUUCCAUGAUGGAAUUUAUAACAAGAAUAUUCUUUGGUUCAGGCAACAUAUAAAUCUGCAUUGAGCAAAUCUUACAACAAUUUUCAUCAAACUACUUUGCAACAAAUUGAGAAAAUUUUCAACAACAAAGUUUGGACAGAGUUGACAACAACAUUGACAAACUUCGAACAAAGUAUGGACUUGGAAUUUUGAAUAACAUUGAUACAAACAAUUGACCCUAAUUUGAACAUCAUACACAUUGAUCAACAUCAAAUACUUAGAACAAAUUCAAACAUAAUUAUUGUUCGAAUAUUGAGCACAUGUACAAACACAUAUUCAUCUAAGUGUUAGAUAAUGUUAGACACAUACAUAUCCUCUCAUUUAGAGUCAAACAUAUACAAAAUAAACUCUUAUAAUUUGGCCCCUUAAUGGCUGUUGUUUUUGCUUUAACAUGUUGCAGCAGCAUCCAAAAGGUUGAGUAGACUUAACUGGGUGAGGUUAAGUGAUUUUUGAAGAUGAAAACACGAGACUGACGUUGAAUUGUAUUUGUAUAAGUUGCAUUAUUUUUAAUUAUUUAUUCAAGAAUUGGUUAAGGUUUGGUGAUUUUAACUAAAAUAGAGGCAGUAGCAAUUAAGCAUAAGUAAUUAGAGGCAACAAUGAAGAAAAUAGUGUAAGUAAAGUGACACAAGUUGAUUUACCCUAGUUCACCACCAACUUGGUAGCUACAUCUAGUCCCUUCACUUAUAAGGAUUUACCCACUAAUUCGAAUCCUUGAAUUACACAACAUCUUACCCUACAAGUCAGUCAUCUCAAAGCAACCUAAUGAUGUAGCUAAAUAUCACUAGAAAGGGGGUUGAAUAGGGAUUUUGCUGUUUAAAAAUAAUUUUCUCGUGUUUUAAAAACUAUCCUCUUAGAGAGCAUGCAAACUCGAGGUUGGUCAUUUAAACCUUUAAAUAAGAGCUGAACAAAAGGAAGAGAAAAUGUAAAGAUUGACACACAACUUUUAUACUGGUUCACCCAAUGAAGGCUACGUUCAGUCCUCACACACUUAUGAGAUUUCACUAAUAUUCAAACUGGUCAACCUCUCACAGAGGAUGCUUACACUUUGUGUAUUCUUUAGCCUCACCAAGCUUACAAUCAAGUUUCAACUAUUUCCAAGUGUAACUCAUGUGGAAAUUAUAGAGAGUGAUAUGAAUGUGAUUGUUUCUCUUUUCUUAAACACUUUCUAAAAAGAUAUUUCAAAGAUCUAAUGUAGGAUUAUAGAAAGUAUAAAGAGGGGAUGGAUAUUGUUCUUGAUAGCUUUGAGAUACUUGAUCUUUUUAUGCAAUGUUGUUGUGUGUAUGAUAAUGAAGAGCUCUUUGCCUUUUAUAGAGACUUUGAGAUGAUAUUUUUAAGUGGAAAAAGCUUUAUGACCAUUGGGGACUUCAAUAAAAAAGUCCAAGGUCUUUCCUGAUAUUUACAAAAUUGCCAUCCAGCUUUCCUUUGACUAAUGCAAUCUAUCCUCAUGCACGAGGUUCAGUAUACCUAGGAACUUGGACAUGUGCAGUCCUUUUCUUUGUCCUUUCUUUAAGGCAUGUAAGACCACAUGUGACGUCCUUUUCUUUUUUCUUUUUUUAAGACAUGUAAAAGCUUCACGUGAUAUCCUUUUCUCUUUCCUUUCUUUAAGACAUGUGAAGGCUUCUAUUUUUGGCUUGCUUGGUGUUGCCUUUACGAAGAUUGACUCUAUAUUGUUUUCAAUCAUACAAGAAUGAUCUAUAGGUCUGGUUUUAGCCUUUGCACAUGAUAUGAUGGUUUGCUUUCCAAGGUGUUGGGUUGCUUUCCAAGAUAUUGACCAUAGACCCAUCCUAGUAUAAUCCUUCCUCGUACUUUUCUUCUGCCAUCUUACUUCUUUAUUUCAAAAGCUUUAUUUAUUCAUUCUUUAAUACUGUUUUGCCUUUACUUAAUGAAUAAAAUAAUUUGUUUCAUCAAAGAUGAGUAUUCUGCAGAUUUGAAGAAUCAUCCUCUUACGAGGUCAUCCUCUCGAAUUCCAAUCCUCCAUAUUUGAAUCAGAUUUUUCUCCUUUUUGUCUUAAUGAUUAAUAACCUGUUUUCAUAUAUGAAUACACUCAAAAGCACAUAUUAGUCAUUAACCAUAACCAUAAUAUUUUAAAUAAUUUUGUUAUCAUUAAAACCAUUUGAGAGAGAUGACGUCUCAACAAUCUCCCCUUUUUUGAUGAUGACAAAAUUCUUUAGAUUAUGAUUUUUGUAAUAUGUGAGGAAGAAAUAAUUAAACUCCCCCUCAAUUGUACAUGUAAUAAUUUUGAAAAAAUUUCCUUUUAACAUUCAAUUAAAAGAAUUUUUUUGAAAUUAUGGAAUAUUGAGGUAAAUAGAACUUUCAUUAAUACUAAGACAUAAUUGAUGAAAUAAGUUCCAGAAACUUAAACAAUAAUAUCAAAAGGUUCAGAAGUUCCAACAUAAUAUCAAAAAGUUAACAAAAGCAUACGACCAACAUAUGACAAAAAGUUUCACAUAAUCUGACUCCCGCUGAAUUAAGUCAGCAACAAAAAGUAGUAAAAUUAAAGUAGAGUCAUUCAGCGAAAUAUGAAUCUUCAGAUGAUGAUGAUGAUGAAGAGUUUGGGACAUAGGAUGACUGGGCCGAAAGCACAGAAGGAGGAUCAUCAGCAGCAACAGAAAGAACCAAAUGUUUGGUGACCAAUUCAAGAAUGAGGCCAAACUGAGAUUUCUUUUGAUCCUUCCUAAUGGUCGUUAGUAGCUUCAAUUUCUUGUUGUUUAGAUUCCCUGCUGAUUUCUUGUUGGGCUUUGAUUCAUCACUCACACUUUUGUUGUGCGAGCUCCCAGCCUUAUCUUUUGAAGAAUUAUCAAAUUGUGUAGCCAAGAGGGAAUUAAAAGAGCUAAAAUGGGCUAGAAUUAAAUGGUGCAUUUUUUUGGAGAAAGAGGAGAAGAGUUCAAACUUACUUGAGUUGGAAAUGAGGAUAUUUCAGCAGGCAUGUUCUCAGGAGGGCUCUUUGAAGAAGGGUGGUCAUAAGAUAUGUUCAGAUCAAAGAAUAGGUCUUCACCAUCCUUUGUACGUGGUAGAGGAUUGUCUUCAAAUGCAUCCUCAACUGAAGGAGCGAAAAUAUGUGUUGAGGGAGUUUUAUUGAGUUUUGGAGAUUGAGGAAAAGUGGAGUCAACCGAGUCAAAUGAAUGAGUGGGAGUGCAAGCAGUAGGAAGAGAUGGUGGAGAAGCAGUAACUUGAGGAGGUGGAUCCUUGAUAGGUUCAGAUUGUGGAUUUGGAGAUGGAGAACAAGAAGUCUUCUUUUUCUUUGAAGCUGUUUGUGAGGUAGAUGAUGAGUUUUUGGGGGUUCUUGAAGUUGGGGUUUGUUCAGGAAGAUCAAUUCUCAUUUGUUUGACAUUUUUCAUAGAGAAUGAAUUGUUAAAUUGAACAUAUUGUUCAUCAGCAAGAGGAACUUUAAAAAACUUAAAAACUUUGGUUAGGAUCAUCCCGUAGGGAGCUGAUCGGCCUAAGACAACAUUAAAUGAUAUUUCCCAAAUGGAGAGGUGUUCCAGUCAUUAAAUGAUGGAUAAGCAGAAUAUCAAGCUCGAUUACCUUUUCAAAACUCCCAGCCCUUGGCACUAUAGAAUGAAUACAUAUGUUGUGAAAGAUACGACAUAAAGGGAGAAGGUUUGAAGCCAAAAGAGG
rnacentral:lncRNA from 1 species